rnacentral:lncRNA from 1 species
AUGAAGCAAAACUCAUUUAUUAAUUUCUUUGAAAAUUUACAGAAAUGUACAUUUUACAUCGGUAAAAAAAAAAAAGGAGCAAACAGGAGGGAGCCUUCACGAAGGUUGCUCGUGUGAAGCCUCACCACUCGGCGAAGCUCCAGGAAGAAGAGGCACCGGAGGUUGACUGUUUGAAGCCUCACCACUCAGCGAAGCUCCAGGAAGAAGAAGCACCGGAGGUUGACUGUUUGGAGCCUCAACACUCGGUAAAACUCUAGAGGACGAUGGUCACUCUGAAUCCGACCUUCAGAUUUCUGCAACUGGUCGAGCUUUCUCUUCAUGCUCGUUGAGUAACUAUUGGCAAACAUGUGCAACUCUCUGUUUUCACGCUUAAGCUCUCUAAUAUCUUGUUUGAGGCUCAUCACUUAAGCCGCCAAUGAUUUAACUUGAUGGGUUCGAGCAAAUAGACGUUGGGCCAAAUUAGACACAGAACCUGCACACUAAACACUGAGAGCAAGAGAAUCCUUAACUGUCAACUCAUCGGACUGUUUGGAAAAUAGCCUAUUAUCUUUGGGAGUGACAAGGUUCCAGGCCACCACCGCAGCGGUCAUAUCAUUCUUCAUCACCGAAUCCCCAACGGUAAGAUGACCAGUAUGGGAUAUGAAAGAUGGGCGCCAUAUGUUGUCUGAAGAAGGCGGGACUGCCUCUUCACCAAGGUUCAAGUUAAAACGACGGUCGAAGGGUCCAGACAUUUUCAAGGUGUUAAAGAAAGAAGAGGUCGGACAAAUCAAGAUCUUAGAAGUGCAAGAAGGGAAUUUCUACAAGCGAAAAUUCAAGUAUGCUUUGAAACGAACUGCAUGCCUCUAUAAAAAUCAGCACUCGACAGGAUUUUAGAGAUCGAAGAGGCGAGCUCAGAAUUCGAAGAAGCCAAUUCAAAAAUCGAAGAGGCAAGCUCAGAAAUCGGAGAGGCAUCUUGCUUUUCCAGACGCGUCAGCACCCAUCACACGCAAACUCAGCUUUGCGAAAAUCACGGGCAAUUUGUCGAAGCGCCGAUCCCAGAUAUCGAAGAGGCGCCAGGUUUUUUCAGCCUCGUCAACAUCUGUCACAUGCACACUCAGCUUAGAGGAAAUUACGGAUAAUUUGUCUAAGAUUUCUCAUGAAAAAAAGCACGUGAAGCCAUACUGAUCAAUUACUCAAUGGUUGCCGACACGAGUGAAAGAACAGUACCUCUACAGGUAUUAAAGAACUUCCUAUAACUGUCCACAUUCACCCUCCAUAGCAAGGCAAACAUACAGAACCUUUCUUCAUCUCCGAGAAUGCCUUCCCAACGAAGCCUCUCGAGUCAUUCAGUGUUCCUUAUUCCUUGGGGUACCUCUGCAAACAAAUGACACCAAAGCAAAAGUACCUCAUAUCACCAGGGUAGAAAGCAAGAGUAUCUCAUAUCAUGCGUUCUCCCUGUCCUUUCCUUUAUCUUUGUUCUUACCUGCAAAGACAAGGAUAAAGAAAGCAAUAUGUCAGAACCUCCACUCAAACUCGGGUAAGGAAUUGACUACCUGGAACCUUUGCCUGGUUACUUACCUAACAUUGCUCUUGAGUACUCGUCUUCAGCUGCUGAUGUACUUCCAAAGAAAAUGCCAUAUUUGCCUGGAGAACAGACAAGACAAGUGAAAAUGAUACCUUGCAGCAUGUGGAGACAACGUGCAGAAGAAACAAGCAGAGAAGAAUGCAGCCUGCACAGUCAACUCAGCAGAAGGAGUUUGAGUUGAGGAACUCAAGAAGCUCCCACAUCUACCUGGAGAACAAAUAAGGAAAUGCGGCAUGCACAAUCAACUCAGCAGAAGAAGUCCGAGUUGAAGAAUUAGAGAGAAGAAGGGGUCUGAGUUGAAUCCAAGAGCUCGAGAAGCUUCAACAACAUAUUGACGACACCAUCGCCGAAGAGCAAAGCCUCGUUGUGCAACGCUGUCAAAUCGCCACCACUUCUUCGAAAGCAAGAGCAUUUGAUAUCAUGUUUUCUUCCUGUCCUUUUCUUUGUCCUUGUUCUUACCUGCGAGACAAGGAGAAAGAAAGUAAUCAGCCAACACUUGGUAUCAAUCUUCCAAUCUGGAACCAACUGCCUGGAACCCCUUCCUGAUUACUUACCUAGUCGUGCUCUCGAAUACUCAUCUUCAACAUCUUAUGCUUCCUCUUCGUCUACCACAUCUGCCUGGGGAACAGACAAGGGAAGUGAAAAUGAUACAUUGAAGCAUGUGGAGACAAGCACAACAAAGCACGUGCCAAUUCAUCCGCUACUUCUUCAAAAUCAAAAGUAUCUCAUAUCAUCAGGGUUGCAAUCACUCUAGGUGGAUGACUCAUUUUGACCCUCAAAUUCUUGGGUCGACUCGCUAGGCGUUGUGGGCUACACGUGCCGAUUCACCACCAUUGAAUCAAAUCCUUAAAGAUCAAGUCACCAACUGGAAGAAGAGCCCAUCAAUCUUGAAGAUCAUACCGUUGACCAAACUGCUCAGGUGUGAAUUAGAAAGAUUGAACAAAGCAACAAGUCGUCACCUUCACCUCGUGCCUGCUUGCUAUAUGUUCGAGUCAACCUUCAAGAAUCAAGCCUUAACGGCCCUUGAAGAAGUUUCCAGCCAAAUUCAAAGAUCAAGCCUCGACGGCCCGUGAGGAAAUCACAAGUCCGAUUCAAGAUCAAGUGUCUACCACCCUUGAAUCAAAUCCAGUUCAAGAAUAAGCUGUGGAAAGUCAACAAUUGGAGGAAACCGGAAAAUCCUCCAACCUAGUUCAAGAAUAAGCCUGUGGAAAGUUAACAAUUGGAGGAAUCCAGACAAUCCUCCAACCCAGUUCAAGAUCAAAGCUGUGGAAAGUCAACAUGCGCAACAAAAUACGUGUCGAUUCAUCCACUACCAAAGCUAAAAAUCAUCUACCACAUAAAGCUCCUUGUGGUCCGAUUUCAACCUUCUAGAUCAAGCCUCGAUGGCCCUUGAAGACAUUUUCAGCCCAAUUCAAGAUCAAGCAUCAACGACCCUUGAAGAAAUCUCAAGCCCAAUUCAAGAUCAAGCAUCAACGACCCUUGAAGAAAUCUCAAGCCCAAUUCAAGAUCAAGCCUCAACGGCCCUUGAAGAAAUCUCCAACCCAAUUCAAAAAUCAAGCCUCGGUGGCCCUUGGAUCGACAUCUACAAUAAGGGACUUCAAAACGCAUCUCCUACACGUGACAAACACAUGUAUAUGACGCGCCUUGAAGUGAGGGCAUUUGUAGACAUCGAAAUUUUGGUAAAUAAAUGUUGACCGAUAAAUCAAAGUUUCAACGCUCAUGUAUUACAUAAAUUUUACACGUCGCGUGUAACUCGACGAAAAAUUGAAAUGAGUCGGAAAAGUCAUCAAACAGGACAUGUGUCAACACCUGGCAGAAACGACUUAUUUCAUCUGAAAUAUUAUAUUCAAAAUUAGGCCUUGAAAUUUUUUAUAAAUAGAAGCCAAUUUCAUUCAUUUGGGGGGAGGAAUUCAUAUUACACCAAAACCUUGAAGCUUUGAAACUCUGAAACUCCGAAGCUCUCAAGCAUCCAGGUUCCCGAAGAAUCAAGAAAGCCCUCUUCGUUCUUCGUUCUUCGUUCAUCGUUCUUCCCAGAUCAAGCAUCGACGACCCUUGGAUCAACAAUCAUCCACCUUCAAGAUCAAGCCCCGACGGCCCUUUAAAGAACUUCCACCAAUUCAAGAUCAAGCCCCAAAGGCCCUUGAAGAACUUCCACCAAUUCAAGAUCAAGCCCCGACGGCCCUUGAAGAAAGUGUUCAUUGUUCAUCAUCCGUUCAUCCUAAGAUCAAGCCCCAACGGCCAUUUGGAUCAACAACGUCGACAAAUCUAUACAUCCAACCGUUCUUCAAGAUCAAGCCCAAAAGCCCUUGAAGAUCCGUUCAUCACUGUUCUUUAAAAUCAAGCUUAAAAGCCCUUGAAUAUCCGUUCAUCACCAUUAUUCAAGAUCAAGCCUCAACGCCCCUUCAAGAAACACUCAUCCUCAAGAUCAAGCCCCAACGGCUCCUUGAAGAUCUGCUCAAAUCCACCUUCAAAGAUCAAGCCCACGGCCCUUAAAGAAUGUUCAUCCUUAGAUCAAGCCCAACGGCCAUUUGGAUCAAUCGCACAUCCACAAAUCAACACCUUAUGGAGAUCGAAUCAGAUGAUCAAAUUUGAGAGAUAUUGUAACCCAAAAUCAUCAAAUACAAAUAUUAUUUUGUGCACGUUGUUCUUGUCUCGUUCGUUUCAGGAAAUUUUCGUGUUUACAAUAAGAAGGAGCAUAACUUCACAUAAUUGUAGAUUCAUAACUUCUGUUGCUUUGACUACCUCUAGAAACCCUUCACUGCUUGAAAUUUUCUUAUUACUAGAGGUCAGAAAGACAUUAUUUCCCUUGAACCAUGUUUCUUCUUCCCUUGAGAUUCUGAUCAAGAUGUAAGACAUCAACUACAAGUACUACAUAUCUUGUCCCAUUAGCAUGAUUCUACAACUUAUUUAUACCUUCUGAAGACUGCAUCUGGUAUAAUCCAUGAAGUGUUUUAGUUGUUUUGUCUUCACUGAUGUUGCAUUGAUUCAUCCCAGGCCUACAAACCAAUUUCAAUACCACUAUGAAAAGGCAACAAAACACGCACACAUACUCUUCAUGCAAAUUUUAUAAUGUGAAACCAAACAACCUAACAAGAAGCUUACAGCCAAACAACCGAGUAGAAAGUUCAUAACUUUUUAACCGAAGUUCCAAGUAGAAAUUCAAACACUAAUCAAUGAGACAAAGAUGGCCUUACUUACAGCAUAAGAGAGAUCGUUGUAGAUCAACAUUUUCCUCAUCAAUGUUAAUAGCAAGAAGUUUUGCGGCUUGUUCCAACAAUCAUUAUUAUUUGCCUUGUUCCCUCAUGGCUAUUUCCGUUGCCAUUGUUGUCUCUUAUCCUAAUGUUGGCAACUUUCUUUCCAUUAAUUUGGAUUGCAAUAACUAUCCAUUGUGGACGGCUUAGUUUAUCCCCUUUCUUCAUAGUAGGGGACUUCUUUCACUUGUGGAUAGCAUUUCUCGAUGUCUUCCAACGUUUAUCACUAAUGCUGAAGGACGGUUGAUUGACGAAAUCAAUCCUGUUUAUAAAGCAUGGAUUCAACUGAACCAAUUGGUCUUGUCUUGGUCAUCGAGUACAUCCCCUACUCCCAACGUCCUCUUUGUGAUUGUGAACAAGAUAUGUUCUCCUGAUGCCUGGAAAACCCUUUAGGAACGUUAUGCCUUUUCUUGGCAUAAUCAUGUUGUUAAGCUUCGAGGUGAGUUCAUGAACUUUUGAUCGGUGAUCUUUUUGUCAUUGACAUUCUAGAUUGGAUUAACUUUUUGGCUUACCAACUUGCUUUCUCUGGCUCACCUAUUACUAAUGAUGGUUUGGUGGAUACUAUCAUGAACAACGUUGGCUGCCACACCCUGAUCGGAGUCGAGAUGUGCUGGCCGACACGUGAGAGUGACGUAGCCAUGAACGCAAAGCGGAAACGAUAAAGAAUAAGGAAAAACGAACAAUUUAAAACCAAGCAACUAGCAAUUCCAAUUAAGAAAGGAUACUAGUGAGAGUUUAAGUGUAUAAAUACACUAUCAGAGCAAUAAGAAAGUCUAGUUGCAAUCAAGUAGGAUAAUUACUAAGAUACAACACCAGAGGGUGAAUCCUACUUUUUCAGGAUUUGUCAGAACACCAUUGAAUUCCUCGUGGCCACCAAACUCUGCUAACUAAAACCUAGAGGGGCGAAAAAUAAAGUUGAGUGGGUCAGUAAAACACAUUUACAUGAAAACCUUAUUUUCCUUUGAAUAUACUAACCCCUCGCCGUAAAACAAGCAUAAUUUUUCCCAUAAUUAAUAUAUAAGAAUAUACAUAAAUAUAUAUAUAUAUGUAAUUAUAUCAUUUCAAUCAUGCUUCACAUAAUCAUAAAUAUAUGUAUGCCAUGCCACGAUAUAAUAAAGUAAGCAAAUCAGGUAAGAAUAAUUUCAUAGAAAUAUAACAUGUUAGUAGUCUAUACGGCUGAAUAUAUAGCUCAAACGUCAAUCUAGCCGAAGUCACUACAAUGACCUAUACAGCAACAUACUGCACAAUAGUCGGAACCAAAUGCAAGGUCUGUACAACGAUAAUGGGUGUAAUAUAAUUAUGCUCAAUACUCAUCUCACAUAAUAGUCAGGCGAUAAAUCGCUAGUCACCUACGAGUCGGAACCAUAAAUAAGGUCUGUACGACAAGACUGUGCAUCUAAAUUGGAUCCAAUGUGAGCAUAUGGUGCGGGAGGUGACAUAAUAAACAGGCCUGUAUCAUAUCUCUAGCUAAAUCACAAUCACAGAUUUAAAUAUCGAUAUUAUCGGCGAAAUAUCGCCGAUAAUAUCGAUUUUUCCGGUCGGCGAUAUUUUAACUGGUUUCCGUGGGGUUUUCGGCCAAAUAUCGCGAUAUUAUCGAUAAUAUCGAUAAUAUCGCGAUAUUUGGAAAUUAUCGGCGAAAUAUCCAUGGACGGUGGAAUCGGAAUCCGAGGCGACGUCGGAGAAGAACGCCGGAGACAGUGGGGCGAUUCCCGGGCCGGUUUCGUCCCAAAAACCUUGCAAAAACACGAAUCUUAACAUUAAUUUCACAAAUAUACAUCAGAUUUCACAAAUAUACAAACGAUUCAAGGCAGGGUGAAGUCGGAGAGAUUAGGGUUUAGGGUUUCAUGGAAUCUCACCUGACGAAGCGGAAUACGAACGAUCCUUGCUCCGCGGCGCACCUCUGACUUCGCCUGAGCCACGAUCAACGGUGAUCUCUGUGUGUGUGUGUGUUUGGGAGAAGAGAGAUCGGAGAUCUCUCUUUGUAUGUGGGUGUUUGGGAGAAGAGAGAUCGGAGAAGGGAGAAGAGAGAUCGGAGAAUGGAGAUGAGAGAUCGAGAGAUCUCUGUGUGCAUGUGUGUGUUUGGCAGAAGAGAGAUCGGAGAUCUCUGUGAGUCCGAUCUCUGUGUGUGCGUGUGUUGGACUUGGAUCCGAUGUCAACCUGUGGAGCUCUCUGUGUGAGUGUGUGUGUGGGAGAAGAGAAGGGAGAAGAGAGAUGGAGAAGGAUGAUCGAGAGAGAGAGAGACUGAGGAGCUCUCUGUGUGUGUGUGUGUUUGGAAGAAGAGAAGGGAGAAGAGAGAACGAGAAGGAUCGAGAGAGAGAGACUGAGGUGUGGUCUGCGUGCGUGCAUUGUGUGUGCGUGCGAUGUGUUUUUGACAGUGAUGAUGUGUGUGGGUUCCUCCUGUCAGGAGGAUAAACUCACUCAAUAUUUUUACAAUUAUUUAGACAAUUUCAUGCAGCUUUUACAAUUAUCAAUUGUAUUCUUUUCAGACCAUGAAUGGUGGUCAUUUGUGUGUGUGUGUGUGGGUUCCUCCUGUCAGGAGGACACAUGACUCACUCCAUAUUCUCGACAACACGAACAAUUAUUUGGACAAUUUCAUGCAUCUUUUACCAUUAUCAUCAGUAGUCUUUUGAAAAGACUCUUUUCAAACCGGUGGUUUCAUUCAAAACCGUGUGCCAAUAUUGUUUUAAAAGGUGGAGUUUCAGAGUUAUUGUGUGAACUCGUUCAAAGUUGUCAUUGUGAAAAAAUUUCAAGAGGUGGAGUAUCAGUAUCAGAUGAGCAUUUUCGAUUAUUUUAUUUCCCUUACCCGUUUCAAAGUCAUUCCAGAUCCAGAGCUUAAACACAAAGGGUUCCAUAUUUAAAGUAAGUUUACAAACUUAUAUUUAUAUUCUUAUAAUUUAUACAACAACAAAAAAAUUUGUGUGAACUCGUAUGUAAAUUUUUUUAAGUAAUUAAUACUUGCAUGUUAGUUUUUGUAAGUAAUUAAGUAAUGUUAACAAUUGCAUGUUAAUUUUUUUUAAGUAAUUAUUACUUGCAUGUUAGUUUUUGUAAGUAAUUAAGUAUUGUUAACAAUUACAUGUUAAUUUUUUUUAAAGUAAUUAAUACUUGCAUGUUAGUUUUUGUAAGUAAUUAAGUAAUGUUAAUACUUGCAUGUUAGUUUUUGUAAGUAAUUAAGUAAUGUUAACAAUUGCAUGUUAAUUUUUUUAAGUAAUUAUUACUUGCAUGUUAGUUUUUGUAAGUAAUUAAGUAUUGUUAACAAUUACAUGUUAAUUUUUUUUAAGUAAUUAAUACUUGCAUGUUAGUUUUUGUAAGUAAUUAAGUAAUGUUAAUACUUGCAUGUUAGUUUUUUGUAAGUAAUUAAGUAAUGUUAACAAUUGCAUGUUAAUUUUUUUUAAGUAAUUAUUACUUGCAUGUUAAUUUUUGUAAGUAAUUAAGUAUUGUUAACAAUUACAUGUUAAUUUUUUUUAAGUAAUUAAGUAAUGUUGUAUAAUUAUUCCCUAGGAUAAUUUUAAUAUGUUUAAUGUUAUUUAUUAUUUUAUUUCCCUUACCAUUUUCAAAGCCAUUCCAUAUCCAUUCCAAAGCUUGAACACAAAGGGUUCCAUAUUUAAGGUAAGUUAUUUAUAUUAUUGUAAUUUAUACAACAACAAAUAAAUUUGUGUGGACUCGUAUGUUAAUUUUUUUAAGUAAUUAAUACUUGCAUGUUAAUUUUUGUAAGUAGUUAAGUAAUGUUAACAAUUACUUGUUAAUUUUUUGUAAGUAAUUAAGUAACGUUGUAUAAUUAUUCCCUACGAUAAUUUUAAAAUGUUUAAUGUUAUUUAUUAUUUUAUUAAUAUUAGGUUUUAUUAUCAAAUAGGAUUAUUAAUAUUGGAUUAUUCAUUAAAUUGAAUUAUUAUUAAAAGUGGAUUAUUAUUAAAUUGGAUUAUUAUCAAAAAGGAAUAUUAUUCUUCACUAUGUUUUAUAUUAGGAUUAUUUCAUGAAACAUAAUUAUCAUCAUUUAUAGUAGGAUUAUUUAUAUUAGGAUUAUUAUCAAAAAGGAAUAUUAUUCAUCAUUUAUAUUAGGAUUUAUUUUUUUAUUUUUUUUAUCAAAUUGGAUUAUUCUUCAUUAAUAUUAGGUUUUUUUAUUAUCAAAUUGGAUUAUUAUUCAUUAAAUUAGAUUAUUAUAAAAUUGAAUUAUUAUUCAUUAAAUUGGAUUAUUCAUUAAAUUGGCUUAUUAUCAAAUUGGACUAUUCAUUAAAGCCCACUUAAUGUAGUCUCCAAACUUGACCUUAGGCCCAAAUCUCAAACAUAACCACACUUGGGUUGGGUUAGGUUAACCAAAAGGUCCAAAACUUAGGAAAAAAAAAACGAAUUAUUCAUUUUUAUUCAUUAAUAUUAGGUUUUUUUAUUAUCAAAUUGGAUUAUUGAUUAAAUUGGAUUAUUAUUAAAGUGGAUUAUUAUUAAAUUGGAUUAUUAUCAAAAAGGAAUAUUAUUCUUCACUAUGUUUUAUAUUAGGAUUAUUUUCAUGAAACAUAAUUAUCAUCAUUUAUAGUAGGAUUAUUUAUAUUAGGAUUAUUAUCAAAAAGGAAUAUUAUUCAUCAUUUAUAUUAGGAUUAUUUUUUUAUCAAAUUGGAUUAUUAUUCAUUAAUAUUAGGUUUUUUUAUUCCAUAUUAAUUUUUUAAUUACUUAAAUUUUUACAAUCAUUUUCUUUACUUCAUAUUGUAUUCUUCUGUAGAAUAACUUUAUUAUUUAGGUUCUGUAGAAUAACUUUAUUAUUUAAUUCUUUUGUCUAAUUUUCAUGAAAAAUAAAUGUAGGUACGUUUAAGAUGUCUAGUGGAGCUAGUAAACGUGAUCCAGCUUGGGAACAUGGCGACCCAAUAGACGGAAACAAACAUGGCACAAUUUGCAAAUAUUGUGGUCGGGUAAUGAAGAGUGGUGGAGUGACACGACUUAAGUACCAUCUUAGUGGAUUAGAUCCAGCAAAAAAUGUCCAACGAUGCGAUAAUGUCCCCCCAGAAGUGAAGGCAUUCAUCAGCACAUUAUUAAAAAAUAAAAAACAGCAGAAGGAAAAGAUGACACAAGGAAUGGAAAAUAUUCGAGCUGGGCUACGGGGAGAAGUCUAUGGCCAAGCGGUUGACAGUGAUGAUGAUGACGAUGAGGACGAAUGUGAUGAUGACAUGGGACCUGAAGAACGACGCAGUUUGAAACAAGCAUUACGUGCCUCCAAACAGUCAGCAUGGGAAAGAGAACACCUUCAUAAAAUUCCUAAUAGGGGACAAGGUUCCGGGACAAGUGGUGGUGCACAAAUGAGACGGGGAUGCAGUCUUAGAGAAUCACAACCAACACCACCAAUAGCCCCAAGUUUAUAUAAGUCAUCCAACGCACGUCAAAAGAGUGUUUGGAGUUAUUUCAAGGGAGGUAAUGUGAAGGAGGGAAUGGGGCGUCUAAUUAGCAAGUUCUUUUAUCUAUGAAAAGAAAAUGUCCCUGCUGCGAAGGCUUCAUCACAUCAUUUCAAAAAUAUGGUAGUGGGAUGUCAACAGGCCGGUGUUGGAGUACAACCUCCCACUCCCUAUGAGAUAAGAAACAAAUAUUUGGAUAUGGAGUAUAAAGACAUUGGCGAGUAUGUUAACAAGUUGAGGUCAAAAUGGGAAACUAAUGGUUGCACAAUCAUGUGUGACGGAUGGACCGGCCCGACCAGAUUAUCUAUCAUCAACUUCAUGGUAUACUCCAAGGGCAAGACAAUUUUUUUGAAGUCUGUUGAUGCUUCAGACCAUAUAAAGAAUUACAAGUAUAUUUACAAAUUAUUGAGGGAUGUAAUCAUGGAGGUGGGAGAGCAUAAUGUUGUCCAAGUCGUGACCGACAACGGUUCUGCAUUUGUCAAAGCUGGAAAAAAGUUAAUGAAGCAUCAUAAUGUGUUUUGGACAUCAUGUGCAGCACAUUGUAUUGAUCUUAUGUUUGAGGCAAUGGGGAAGAGAGAGAAUGUUGCUGCUGUGGUCAAAAGAGCCAGAACGAUCACUAAUUAUAUUUACAAUCACGGUUGGUUGUUGGCAAAGAUGCGUGAAUUUUGCAGAGGAGAAAUUAUUCGUCCAGCUACCACUCGAUUCGCCACCAACUAUAUUGCAUUAAACAGCCUACUCAAGAAGAAAGCAGGGUUGAAGCAACUAUUCACUAGUGACGAUUGGGCCAACCACAAUUUCAGCCGCUCAAAUACAGGUCGUAUGGUGGAAAGUAUAGUGCUUGAUCAUGCUUUUUGGAGUCAAACAGAACAUGUGUGUCAAGUGUUUGAACCUCUUUACAAAGUUUUACGCAUCGUUGACACAGAAGUGUAUCCUACUAUGGGGGCUGUAUAUGAGUUGAUGCGUGUAGUGAAGGAUGAAUUGGAAAGAAAACAUGGUGCAAGGUGGGUCGUAAAAAUAAUUGAAGACCGAUGGUAUAAAACAUUAUACCACGAUUUGCAUUCAGCAGGUAUAAAUUAUGUCAUAAUUUGCAAUUCAUUUCUUUAGUUGCAUAAGUAUUAUUUAUCUUAUUAGAGUAUGUGUUUCUUUGAACAGCAUAUUAUUUGAAUCCCCGAUACCAAUACAGACCCGGUGUUGGAGAUGAUGGUAACCUUAUACGUGCUGUACAUAAUGUAUACAAUAAAUUAGACCAUGCAUCACCAGCAGUUGGCCAAUUUGGAAAUGAGGUACACAAUUACUUAAAUUAUAAUAAUUACUUUGUUGGAUUAAACUAACACAAUUUAUUGUAUUCAGCUAACAUGGUUUAAAGAUGCAAGAAGAACAUUUGGAGAACCAACAUCAGUUGCUGCUCGAACAAAUAUGUCUCCUAGUGAGUAUAAACAUAUUUCACUAUAAGUUUAUAAUAGAAUUUGUUGGAGUUAUUAGGCUUAUCAACAUUAUUUUUCAUUGUAGCUGAAUGGUGGAUCAUGUAUGGGACCGAUGCACCAACUGUGAGAAAGUUAGCAAUAAAAGUAUUAUCACAAACGGCUUCCUCAUCUGCUUGUGAAAGAAAUUUGAGCACAUUUGCACUCAUCCACACAAAGCAAAGAAAUAAGUUGGCUCAUAGUAGCUUGGAAAAAUUAGUUUAUUACUACUACAACAUGAAGCUUCAAAUUCGAGAUAAGGAAGCAGAAAUCGAUCAUGUCGACCGUGGUGACCCACUAGAUGUGUUUGAUAUUGUUGGUGAAGAUGAUGAUACGGAGGGUAACCAACUUUUUCAAUGGAUUAGACCUCUUCAUUUAGAUGAUGAUGAAGGCAACCCAGCUCCUAGAGUUGCUGAAGAAGCACGUAAUGAAGGGAUAAAUGUAGAAAGAGUAUUAGAGGAGGAGGUGGGAUCUAGCAGCGCUGACUCUUUCGAAGAACUUUUGCAGCCAAGACCAAGCAACACUGGAAUUCCACCUUUUUCCAAUCCUACACAACCACAACAUCGUGCUGAUACUAAUGAUAGCUCUAGUACAAGAUCAGGAGACUCACCUACCACCGGAGGUGGGAAUGAUGAAGGACAUAGUGGAGCUGGAGGUAGUGGUGGUGGAUAUGGAAACUAUUAUGGACCACCACAUCCCGGAUAUAUGAGCCCCUUCACUGGUGAGGCAAACUUCACGCAUGCAACCCAGGAUGAUGACCAUGGCAGUAGGCGGGCAGGACCAGGAAUUGGUGCCAUAGGGAAGGACUAUACUCGCAGAGAAAGAGGCAAAAAGAUUUUGUCAAGUCAAGAAGAUGACUCGUUAUCUAGAACUUCAGACUCUGUUGGAUUGGAAAGUAGUAACUAUGGUUAUCCUCAUAACCAACCAUUUCCCUACCCUUCAUAUCCCAUUCCUGUUGGGAUGGAAUCGAGCGACUCAUGGAAUCAAUCCCAGCCUCAAUCUUCAAAUGAUUUUUUCUUAUGGACAACCUCAACCAAUCUCGGAUCCAUAUGGGUGGCAUAUUAACAAUUACAUGCAAAACUAUUUUGGGGAUUUAUCAUUUGAUAACUACUCUUCACAAUACACUCAUUCUACACAUAGAGAUGAUGAAGAUAGUGACAAAUUUGAACCUCAUAGGAACUCUAUGUGGUUCUAAAGUGUAAAAUAUAUUGUACUAAUUCAUUAUAUAUAAAUGAUUAUGGUGUGUUUAGACUUCUUUCAUUAAUUACUACAUAUUUUCUACACUCAUAAUGUUUGUCAGAUCGCUAUAUAAUCAACUUGAUAAUGUUAAAUCCAUCAUGCAAUGCAUUUCCUUCCAAUUUUUUGUGAUAAACUAAUAGAUAAUUGACUAAAUAAACAUCCUACAAAGUUUCAAUAAAAAUUUCCAAGUUUUUCUUACAAUUUCCGUGGUUUCCAUGUAAUUUUUAUCGAUAUCGAUAUUUUACCGAUAUUUCCAUCGAUAUUUCCGUGUUUUCGGACUACCGAUAUUUCCGAUAUCACCGAUAUUUUCUUCCUUGAUCACAAUCACCCUAAGUGCAGUUUUAUGAGCUCAACAAUAUUCAAUCACAUAUCACAUCAUCGACAAUUCACAUAGCCAAACAUAACUUACUUGAGUUUACCUGAGCCUCCACAGCACCAUGCAACAAUAUGCAUAAUUAUGAUAAUGCAUAUACUAAAAUAAAAUAUAGGCAUAGCAUGACAUUUCAAUCACAUUUCCUUAAAUACGUUUUCUGGGAAAACGUCAAUUAUAUAUAUAUAUAUAUAUAUUGAAAAUAACUGCCCACUCACAGAUAUGUCGAUGGGUUGUAACCCCCGAGCCUCAAUUGAUUACGCACGUCCUGAUAAUAGGUCUCACCUAUAGGUGUAAUAACCGAAUAAACGCUAUUUAACGCACAUAACCAAUAAUAGGUAAUAACUUCUCAUAUAUUACCCAAUUUGGGUAUAUGAAUAUACCACAGUGACCUACACAAUCUCAGGAUCAUCCCCAAAUUUUUAGAAUAUUUUUCUUAGCUCCCAUGCGUCGCCACGCGCCGGCCAAGGCACGGCCAAACGCUCCCCCUACGCGCGGCCAUGUGCCAGGCACACUGACAGUGUCAACUGACGCCGUCAGGUAUAUUUCGGAAUAUUCCGUUUAUUCCUUAACAAAACUUAACGGCGUGACCUAACACCAUUAGAAUAUUCCGUUAAACUAAACGGAAUAUCCUCUCAUCUUCUACCUUCAGCUCCAGCGACCGUCGCCGUUGCUGGAAACUGGGAAAUUUUCAUUUCCUUAUAUCUUCUUCGUUUUUAACCCAAAAUUUAUGAAACUUGAACCAUUUUAAAGAUCUCACAACGACGAACAAAACCAUACCUAAUUCGAGCUUUGAAACCACCGGAAUCCCGUCGAAAAAAGCUUCGAUAAUCCGGCAAAUCUCAAAACUUGUCGUUCUCCCGAUUCCGACGUCCAAUUUCUUCAAAUGAGGUACUCUGCGCUUCGUAAGGACCUCCUUAAGCUCCCUAUGUCCUUUAAAUUCCCUAAAAAUCAAUAUUUUACGUGAGCAUGAAUAGUACCUUAAAUCGGGUUUUGUGGUUCGACGUGAAAUCGAAUGUAAUCUUACCUGUAAUUGGUACCUUUGAACCCGUGAGGACCUUAGGAAUACAAUGGUACCAUUUUUCUUCUUCGAUCUAUCACGUUUACAAGGGUUUCUGGUUGUGUCCGUACAAGAGAGGAAGAGAUGGAGACUGUGAGUCUGAGAAAGAGAGAGCACGAGAGUGAGAGAGAGGAAGUGAGGUGUAGUGUGUGGACCAAAUCUCUCCAACCAAUCAAAAAUUAGUCUUUCUUAGUUCCUAAGUGGUUCCAAAAACUUAGGAAAUCAUAAUUAAAUCCAACUUAAAUACAAGUUAUACACCACACAACUUAACGUCCAAGGGUACACUAGUAAUUUCACGUCAACGGAAAUUAUUUUCCGGAACGGGCUGUCACAUUGGCCCUUUAUAUGAAAACACAGUAGCCUCUAUAAUCCUGCGAGUCUCCCAUAACCUAUGCUGCCACAUGUGGUCUUUGGGUCAUUGUAUAAAUUACCAUUCUAUGAGAAUAUUUUUUAAUUUUUUUGGUACACUUUUAUCUAUGCUCUGAUACUGUAUGCAUUGUAAUAAGAUUCAUCCAUAUUGUGCACUCUUAUAUAUUUUAAAUUUAGACUUUGGUUUUAAUUUAUUCCUACUUUUACACACCACUUUCACAUUAUGACUUCGUCAUCCUUCGGAUGUCGGUCAACAUGCCUCGAUUUUAGUAUUCACGUGGAUAUUCGAGUUGGGAUGUGUCAAUUUUUAUCCUCUCACAUCAUAUUCCUUCUUUUUAUAUAUACUAGCUUCUUACCAAACGUUGAUGCGUGUGGUAAUAUUUUUUUUAAUUUUUUAGUUUAAACUUUAUAUUAUUUUGAAUAUUAAUUUAUUUGAAAGUUAAUUUACAAUGUAUAAUUUUAAAAAAUGGUUAGUAACUCCAUGUAUGUGGGGUUUUUUUUUAAUAAUUUGUCCUUAUUUAAUUAAAUUGUCUCUUUAAAAAGUAGUAAAAAGAAGGGGCAUUUUUAGUACUAUGAAUAUUUCAUCAAAUUUACCUUCUUCUUUUAUAUAUAGAGAUAGAUUAACAAACGUAAGGAAAUUUAUUUAUUUUUCUAAUUUUUUAACGUGCCACAUGGUUGUAGUUUAGCAGAAUAAAUAAACUUUAAAGUUUUGGGUGGAAUAAUCACGUUUCGUUUAAUAUUUUCACUCUAAACUGUUACAUACAAGUCUAUCUUACGUGUACUUGUAAGAUGAACCAAAUCCUCCCUCGUAAUGACAUGGAAAAAGAAACUUGAAUGACAUCUCACGCCGUCCAAAAUUUUUUUGCAGCUUAACUUUUACCAUUUAUAUUUUCAUGAUUACAUCACAGCAGUAGUUACUUUGCACACCACCGUUCAUUUUCCAGAGUUUUGGUAAAUUUUCGAAGCACCUUGGUGGUAGUUGCUUUGCUUAUGUACACUUUUUUAGUGCUAAUAUGCCCAUCCAUGGUUUUAUUUCCCCCACCCAAAUCAACUCCAUGUAAAAAAAACUUCAAAAAUUAUGUUAAAAAUUACUCCUUUUAUAUAUUCUCUGUAGUUAAAAAAAGCAGUAGAAAAAAGAGUAAAAUAAUGAAAAUGAGAAAUGAAUUAAACCUCUCCAUUUUCUUUCCUCAUCCCUCACCCUUUUUAACUCUUUCGUCCCACCCACCCCAAAUUCUAUCUCUUCUUUUCUUCCUACACAAGCAACUGAGCCCCCUCCCCCCCCCGCGCGAUGUCGCGGGUCUUAAAACUGUGUUCAACGUACCGGAUAGAAUAAAGUCUAUUUACAUCUUUAUAUUCAAUAAGGAACAAAAGAUACUUGUUUGUACAAUGUAUUACAUAGCCAAAAUUGUGAAUUGCUGGGAUGGUAAUGUUCACGGUAGAACUUGUGUAGUUUUAUUACCUAAUAUCAGAAAGAAGUGCUCUGUAGUGAUUAAUAAAAAAAUAUUUAAGAAACAAUUCAUAUGCAUAGAAAAAGGAGAGAGAAAGAGACAGAGAGAGAGAGAGUAAAAUGCUAAUCAGAAUAUAAGAGAUAAAAAAGAAGUUGCAAAGCUGUUCUACAACCAAAUAGCACUGGUCGGAAUGAGCCCCUUAAAUGGUUGAGAAGUUCGGAUGAUGGUUAUACGAUGCCCACAUUGAGGGUAACAUCAGGAGAAUUUUUGGGGUAGUAUUGUUCGAAAAAUUAUCAUCAACAAUGUACAUUCUCCAAGAAAUUAUAUUUCAUGCCUAAAAUAAACAGUUAGCCUUCAUGAAGUGAAACCACCUAAAUUUAGUAUGAACCAAACUCCAUGGAGAUGAUGAUGAUGUGAAAUUCAACAUGCAAAGGAUGAAGGAGAGGAAUUUCAACUGGAUUUAGAGCAAAGUGGCUGCUGAAAUAUAGUAACCAGUUAGAACCUUGAUUCUAAGUUCCAAAUGCAGAAUAUCAAAGUCCUUCAUAAGAAUUAGAAACAAAGAGAAGAAUUCAGAGAGUUUGAUCUUCACUGGUUUUCUCCAACUCCCAUUAAUUCCACAUCAAAUUGGAAAAAAUCUUGUUUUCCAAACGAAGAUGUUGAACAUCAACGUCAUUCCACUGUUUUCUCUCUGCAUCAAUGAAGCGGAAAAUACGUUAGUCCCAUCAUGUUGUCUUGGCUGAUAGCAUAUUUGAAAUAACACUGUUAAAAAUCAAACAAAAAUUAGAAUGAAAUACAUAAUAACUGUACUGGAUUUCUAUAAAUACAUGCGGGUCUUUUAACUGAUAUUUAAUAGAUAGAAUUCAAACAUUUUGAGAACGAAAACAUUUAAUAGAUAGAACUGAAAAACUUUGAGAACAAAAACAAAAGGUUCAAAAUUUAAUCAAACCCAACAAUGACAGCCGAAAUCAAAAUUAAUUAGAGCAAAGGGAACAAAUUCGAAAUUCCAAAAAACCCAUAUUGAACGCAAAAUAUCAGAAUUCAUAACGCAAAGACUCAAAUUAACACAAAAUCAAUGUGCUUUCAAUAGAACCUGAAAAACUGUAACCCAUAAAAGGUCGGAAAGGCCUGAAAUUGGCCAUAAUAAAAUCGGAUUCUUGUCGGAAAAAAAGCUGCAAGCUGUGCUUAUGGAACUCUUCAAUCAAUGGGUAAGUUCGAGCAUGCAAAGCUCGAAUGAUGUUGUUGGGACUAUCCUGAACUGAAUAGUUGGGGUUGCGGGCCGGCCGCCACCAUAAAACAUGUGAAAGUUGGGUUUUUCAUUUGAAGGCUAGUCGAAGACGGGGAGAACGGCGAGAGGGAAGAGAGAAGGAGGAAGAAAAAAAAUAUAAAGCGUAUAUAUAUUUUUUGAGGCAGUGGCAAGAGAAGUAAUAACAUAAAAUUGACAGGGGCAAAAUGGAAAACACACUGUGCUUAUCAACAGUAACAUAGUUGAUUUUGAGUUUUAGUAUAGAUUGAAUUUCAACCUUUAAUUUUGAAUUGGAAUUCGGGAAUAAAUAUAGAGAUUAAUCUUAAAAUCAUAUUUGACAGAAAAAAAAAAAAGAUAGAAAGGAACAGAGAAAGGAGAAUAAAAAGAAAGGAAUGUAACUCAGAGAAAGGAGAAUAAAAAGAAAGGAAUGUAACUUUCCGAAUGGCAAAGAGAAAAGAAGUUGCUGCGGUCAUAUGUGGUGCUUGGUUGUGAUUGCUUUGGGUCGGGUUGGAAGGACUUUCAUGACUGUUUCAUUUUCCAAAAAUCUCCAAGAUUCAGUCAUUCUUUAUAUUUAUUUUAUUUAUAACUUAAACUAUUACGGAUAUUUUAGAAAUAUGAAGGGGUGGAAAGAGAGUGUUUGGUAUUUUUAUUUUUGAAGUGAAAGAAAAUAUAAUGUAGUUAAAAGAAAUAAGAUCAUAAAGUGGGCGUAGUUGCAGUUUUAUAAGAAAAAAACAAAAAGAAAAAUGGAAAAACAUAUCGUUUUAUGAUUUUUUAACAUCACUAUCAGAGUUUUCUGUCUUUUAGGGUUCGAAAAUUAGAUUCGAUCGUGUCGCAACCCCUUUCUCGAUUUUCUCACCCAAUUUUUUAAAUUUUCCGUCUUUAAUUAUUUCCGCUAGGGUUUCCAUUCCCCCAAUUUAAUUUCAUUUGCUUUUUCAUCGAUUUCUCGAAAUGGAGGGCAUUUCGCUGCUGUAAUUGGUAGGUUUUCUGCCCCCAAUUUCCACGUGCUUCAGGGUUUUUCUGGUUCAAUUUUAGCUUCGGGAAGUAAAAUGAUAUUUUUGGUUGGUUUUCUUGUGGGAGUGUGUUGAAUCAGCUCAAUUUUUGUUUCUUUGCUCUGAUUUUGGGAUUUUUACCGUAAUUUGGUUGAAUUUUUGUUUUUGCAGUAAAUAGAUUGAGCGGGCAUGUCAUUGCGAGUUUAUAGCUUGGAGGGUUGAAUUUUUUCUGAGAAUAUUUGUAUGAAUUUGGGGACAAAUGUUUGCUACCAACAUGGAUUCAGCGCGGGAUGUUGUUGGAGUUCCGAGCACGGUGUUGAUCCCAAUGCGCUUUGUGUGGCCUUAUGGGGGCAGAAGUGUGUUUUUCAGUGGUUCAUUUGUCCGGUGAGACUCUGAGUUUUCGGUCUUGAAUUUUGUUUAUAUAUAAAUGGAAAUUAAGUAUAUCUGAUUUUUUGGGCUGUUGUUAUAUUUGUGUGUGUUUCAAAUGGUAUGUUCUUUGUGCAGCAGGUGGUCUGAACUUAUUCCUAUGACCCCGGUUGAGGGUUGCCCCACUGUGUUUCAAGCUGUUUACAGUGUAACGCCGGGAUACCACCAAGUAAGUUUUUUCGUUUCAGAAUUGAAGUAUUUGAAUUGUUGUUGUUGCGUAAAUUCACAAGCUUUCACUUUUGAGGGGAAUAUGAGUAGCAGCAGUCAACUACGAUUGAUUCAGUGAUCAUAGAUGAUGGAUUCAUUGAUAAAGCUUGUAAUGAAUCAUAUCAAUCUUUACAUUUUAUAGGAGCAAAGUUGAGAAAGUUGAUUGCAGGCCAUGGAAAAGAGUGUUAUGUAGUUGAGUUUUGUUAAUAAUCGAUUGAAAUGUAGGUGAAUUUAGUUGGUAGAAUCAAGUCAUAGUCUUCAUACACUCAAACUUGAUAUUGAUGAGAAGAAAUAUGAAGGGUUAAUAUCUGGUAUUACCAUUAUGAAGUUUAUUUUGAUGAGAAGAAAUAUGAAGGGUAAUACCAAGUCAUAGUCUUCGUUUGAAUUAUACUAUAUUAAUGUAGUACUGUAAUGGUUAAAGAAGUUUAUUUUGGUUUGAAUGUCUUUUCGGAAUUGGAAUAUUUUGGUCGCCCACCAUAGUUGAAUUUUGAAGCACUCAGUGAUCAUAGUCAUAGGAUGAUGAACUAAGUAUAUGGUAUAUAAGAACUAAGAGUUUGGAGACCUGUAUCACAAUAUGAGCUUAUGGAAGACAAAAUUGUUGUUAAUGAGCCUUGGCUUAAGUGGCAUUGGAUGGGUAGGGUGGGACGUGAGGGUAGACACCCAUGGUUCGAAUCUGCAUGUGAAAAAGCUGUGAGUUGUUUGAGGCAGUGAAGUUAGUGUUGUCAUCUUUUGUAUCUUUCUUGCCGUGUUCCUCAUGGGAUUUCUGUUUAUGAAUAUUGCUCAUUUUAAUCUUCCAUAUGGUGAUACUAUGUGAUUGUAGUAUGGAAAUCCCUAUUGGGUGCUUCAUUAAGCUGAAUUAGUAGUAAUAUAUCAAGUAAUAGAGUCAGUGCUGAGAAAUUUUAGUCUAGGAGGUGAUGUGGUGGUUGGUAUGAAUUCUGGAUAAUUGGCUUGGCUCACAGAUGGAUAGAGGAAUAUAUUACGAAUAAUCUAUGGAUAUCUUAUAAUUACUAUCGGGCUUUUUUAUUCUUUUGAAAUUUGAAAAUCACAUGUUCAUCUCAAGUGGAUCACCAGUUUCGUACUUUUUUGGUUGAAGUGAUUGAAUGUGUGAAUUUUUAUCAAGCCUGCAUGCAGUUUGAUGUUAGAAUGCUAGUACUGGGGUGUUCUGUGUUUACAUUGAUAGGACUUUAAACACAUCAUCAAAGUCUUACUUUGUAUGUGUUUCUCAUACUACAGUACAAAUUUUUUGUUGAUGGCGAAUGGCGACAUGAUGAGCACCAAUCUUACGUGAGUGGUGAAUAUGGGUUAGUGAACAUUCUCUUGGCCACAGAUCCUAAUCUCUUUCAUCCGAAUGUAACCUCAGAGAUGACUUCUGGACCUAAUUAUAUGGAAGAGGAUACUGAGGCCUUUAAGCGUUUGGUAAGAGUCAUUCAUUCCUUAUCAUUUAAGAUUAUGUAUGUUUUUUCCCUGGGGCAGCAUUUAAGAUCAUAUCAUUGUUACCUCGAAAUGUAAUUCUCUUUCUAUUAACCUUUCCUAUAAGAUUUUACUGAAUUCAGGGUGCUUCAACAUUAUCCCAUCCAUGUGAUGUGUUUAUGAUUUGAGUUAAUAGGUUGCUCAUGGAAUUCAUGGUCUGAAUCACCUUUUUUUCCCAAAUAAAAAAAAAUCUUCCUUGCAUUUUAACACUCAUUUUAUGCUCCUGUAAGCUGUAUUUACUUUCUGUUAUUUUUCUCCAAUGAGUUAUUGGUAAGAGUAGAUUGUGAUCUUUUUACAACACAGGUCCGGAUUACAGAUGGUACUUUAACUGAUGUAGUACUAAGGAUAUCAGAGGCUGAUUUGCAAAGCUCUCGUCAUUGUAUUUCUGUCUUCCUGUCUACACACACCACAUAUGAACUACUCCCGGAGUCAGGCAAGGUUUGGAUGAUUUGUUGUUGCCCUCCUUUAUGCAUUCUACAUUUGGUUGGUGUAUAUGAAUUUGACUCAUUAUGCAUUAGUCUCUUUUUUUCUUUUUUUAAUCACAUCAAGUUAACAGGUUGUUGCAUUGGAUGUUGAUUUACCUGUAAAGCAAGCAUUUCAUAUAUUGCAUGAGCAGGUAUGUACAACGAAAAAUACAUUUCUCAUUGUUGGUUGAAUCAUGCUCUGCGUAUUUGAUUUGUGGAAGAGGAAAUGAAUACAUUCUAGCUUGAUCUCUAUUAGUAUCAGUUUUAGUGGGCAUUGUGGUAGUUCUAAACUCAUAUUAAGUUCUAUGUUAUAACUGGAGGAUCACCCCCAUAUAUCUUUAUGGGUCCCUUUGUUCACAUGAUUACACCCUUUAUAUAAUUGUUUCAAUUUGAUAUUUUCACAUCAUUUUUAUAAACCCAAUUCAAUUAAGGAAUUUAUCUAAGCUUUGCUAGUUGCCGAAAUUUGAACGGUACCUUGGUUCUUCAUUUUUUGUUGGCGUGCUUACUUGAUGCUGAUAAUGAGCCAGCAUAUGCAUCUUUCUGAGCCAAUUUUUUUUUCCAGGGAAUCCCUUUGGCGCCUCUUUGGGACUUCAGCAAUGGACAUUUUGUUGGAGUUCUCAGUGCAUUGGAUUUUAUUUUAAUAUUGAGAGAGGUAUGUUUGAAUCUGAAAUGAUUUUUUUCCUUUGGUGAGUUCUUCAAGAUGCAGUUAUAUCAUUGUUAUUUUGAAUUCUUGGAUAGUAAUUUGAUGCAAAAGUUCAAAUAUAUUAGUUUGAGACUUCCAUCUCCUGUUUGUUAUUUCUGUCGUUCUUCACUAACAUAUACAUUCUUAGGGAAUUGUGAAUCAGACUUUGGUAAAAUUUUAUCAGCUUACUUUAUUGACCAAAUACUUUUUAAGUAGGAUCUUGCUAUUAGUUGUGUGCAAUGCUCGCACCCACAUUUGAGUGAUGUAUGAUAAUUUCUUAAAGUAGCUAACUUUAUUUUUAUCUUUUAGCUUGGGAACCAUGGAUCUAAUUUGACAGAGGAAGAGCUUGAAACACAUACUAUAGCAGCAUGGAAAGAGGGAAAAGCAUAUCUAAAUGGACAGAUUGAUGAACAUGGGAGAGCAGUGCCGAGACAGUUAGUCCAUGUGAGUGUUUUAUGCGACUCUUUGUAUUUCUGUCUUGUAAAUGUAAUAUUUACCGUUGAUCAGGUGGGUUUUUAUUUUAAUCUGUGGUGCUACAUUCAUAAUUUGACAACAUAACACAGCAGGUAUCUGGCAAAGAACAUCACCUGCUAUACACAAAUAUGUGCAUCUUGCAUAUAAUACACACAAUUUUAUAUCCUAGGGAUUCAUGCAAUAAUAAGGUCUUUAUGUGUCUGCGUGGUUUGGAAUUAUUUUGGAAUCUUAUUUAAAAGACACAAGAAGAAACUUAUAAUUUGAUGCCUUUAAGAAUCACUUCUUGGGUACAGAAGCAGCCUUCCUUGUGAAGCUGUUUCAAUGACUCUUCUGUUGCGUAUGAUGCGAACUCAUUAAUGAUCAUUAGGAAGCGUUCAAAACAUUGUCACAACUUAAAUCAGUAAUAGUUUGUCUCCAAACAAGUAAAACAAAUGUCAACGUUAACUUGAAUUCUGUGGUAGUAUGACAGACCCACAAAUGGGCCAUCGCAUGCAACCACUGUCAAACUGAUGCUCAUGUAAUCUUAGUCCUCGUUAGCAUAAAUGUGAAUGUUUACAUGGUAAACUGUCUGUGUGGUCAUAUGGUAGUUUUUGUAGCAUGCUAGGGUUAAUAAUUUUGCUUUGACUGGUUCAUUAUUGAUUUUUCAGGCUGGACCAUAUGAUAAUAUGAAAGAUGUUGUGUUGAAAAUUUUACAAAAUGGGGUUGCUACGGUUCCAAUUAUCCAUUCAUCUUCAGAAGAUGGCUCAUUUCCGCAGCUAUUGCAUCUUGCUUCACUGUCUGGUAUUUUAAAAUGUAAGCUCUUUGGAAACUUAUUGAAUAAUACCGUAGGUUCAGUUCGUAAUUGGUACUGAUAAAUGUCAAUUUGCAGGUGUUUGCAGGUACUUUAGGCAUUCAUCUAGCUCAUUACCCAUACUUCAAGCACCAAUAUGUGCAAUUAAUGUGGGUACUUGGGUUCCGGAAAUUGGAGAGACGAAUUGUCGGCCAUUAGCAACGUUGAGACCAAGUGCUUCGCUUAGUGCAGCUCUAAACUUGCUAGUUCAAGGUAAGCCUUGUGGUUGAGCUGUAGAAUUUUUGAGUGUGCAGCAAUUGUCAUGAAGUGGGAUGCCUUCUCGAAUGCACACAUAUCCAUGCAUUGUGCUGGCUUCUGCUAGCCUGCUACUGUAGGAAGUGGAUCAAAUUAUCUGAAUUUAAAUUGUGUUUAAGGAUUUGUUACAAUUAAUUUUUAGGUUAUGAAUGGAUGACCUUGUAUUGUAGCACCAAAGUUUUAGGGUUAGCGAGUAUUUUAGAUAUGCAUCCCAUCAUGCUAACUCAAAUGCGUUUUUGUGUUUGCUUUGCAGCUCAAGUAAGUUCAAUACCUAUAGUUGAUGAUAAUAACUCUUUACUGGAUAUAUAUUGUCGAAGGUUAGUUGUAAUUCUAUUUGGGUAUAAUUCCUAGUUGUUGUCUUGAUUGAGUGAAAUAAAUAAUCAGCUGUUUUUUAUUUUAACAAACCAUUACUGAUAUUUUUCCAUUCACAUUUUCUUGACAGUGACAUAACAGCUUUGGCUAAAGAUAGAGCAUAUGCACAUAUUAAUCUCAAUGAAAUGACUAUUCAACAGGUAACUGGUGUAAUUCCUGAACAUAGUUGUUUUCCGGUUUCCAUACAAAUUUUCUUCACUCUUUUGUGCAUCUUAAAUGUCAUAUGGAAUGAGAGUUCUUCAGAUGCAUUAGAGACAGAUUUCCAAUCAUUUAUUUAUUUUGGAGGUCAGGAGAUUUAGGGGCCUUAUGGUUUUGUGAAUUUAAAGUUGUGGUUUAGUUAGGGGGCUCCUCUUUCAGUUUGAAGGAAUAUUUUCUUUGACAUUUUCACUACAUAUUUACACAUUCUGGUGGAAGAGACAGUCCGGGUUGCUUUUGGCUUUUGGAGAAGCUUCAAGGGAUGUAGUCUUAGUUCUUAUCUUUGUUUUUGUAGGCAUUGCAGUUGGGACAAGACUCAUUUUCUCCCUUUGAACCAAGAGGUCAAAGAUGCCAGAUGUGUUUGCGCAGUGAUUCUCUGCAUAAAGUGAUGGAGCGAUUGGCCAAUCCAGGUAUUUCUCUAUUCACUUUUGUAUUUAGAAAUGUUAAAGACUUAAUGUUUCGAUGCUGUUACGUAAAGGUGCAGAGUCGUGAUCAUGUAGAGAACGAUAUGUCCAGCCAAUCUUCCCACUUAACUUCCCUCAAAUCUUGGAUUUCAGGUGUCAGACGACUGGUGAUUGUAGAAGCUGGCAGUAAGCGGGUGGAAGGCAUUGUUUCACUUAGUGACGUUUUCAAGUUCUUGCUUGGUUAGCUCCAAAAAACAAUGGUUGAAAAAGCUAGAAGGAGUUCGAUCAGUGGUUCUCGAUGUCACACAUGUGUAGAUGGGCGCCAUCUCCUCCUACCCCAACUGUUGAUUAGAGAAUCCAGUACCUUACACGGUGACUUGUUCUCAUUUCAUUCAAAUAUACAAUUGGAUUGGCUUCUUUGCUUCGCCUGGUUUUUUUAGGAUUUUGAAGAAAGAGGCCUGUAAAUUGAGAGGAAUUCAUUUCCUCAGAAAUUUGUUGGCCUUCUCCCUCCCCUGUUAUUUACAUUGUGCUGCCGAUGUAGAUUUGAUGUAGCCGAAUACAGCGGGGCUCCUGCAUUAGUUUUCUGUUGAAAAAUUAGGGGGACAAUGAUGGAACAAAACGAUGGGGGGGUGGAGGAAUGCUGAACAAUUGAAGCCAUUGGGUACCUACUGCUAUAUGCUUACCUGUAGUUGUUGACAUGUAAUUUGCUUUUUUUCCGAUUUCGUUUCGUAUUUUUCGUCUUGUGGUUUGAUCUUCAAACGUAUUGUAAGUAGCAGGCAAAUGGAGAACUCAAUGAACAGAACCAUGUAUUGCUGUGUAUUGGUUACAAAGCUUAUCUUUUGUAAAAAGAUAAUUAAAAUAAGUUCUCUAAAAUCACCCAAAUGUGGGUGGGACAUGGAUUAUUUGAUGCCAACUUUCUUGUAAGAAAUCUGAUUUUAAUUAUUGUUUUUUUACACCCAAAUUAGUCCUUGAGAUUGUUAUAACUAUUCACUUUGGUCAUUGAGAUUUGAAAUCGAUAGAAGUGGUCUAUGGUUUGCCUAAAGUCAAUUACUUUGGUCAUUUCGUGAAAAUUGUUGUUAUAUAAGGAUCAAAAGGACAAAAAUACAAUCAUCUUAAUAAAUCUGGGCUAAAAUGAUUUAACAAAAAUUGAAGGUAUUUUUAUCCUUUUAUUCUUAUUUAACGAAGAUUCUUCGCAGAAAGACUGAAAUUGAUCGUGGACAAAUUCAGGAGUUAGUUUUAUCGAUUUUAAAUUUCAGGUAUCAAAAUGAGGAUUUAUGACAAUUUUAUAGACUAUUUUGACUAAAAAAAUGGAUAAAAGAUUAUAGAUUCGCGGUUGAUUGAUUCAGUCUUGUAGCUAUGAAUAAGAGCGGGAGUGCAGAAGAAAAAAAAAAGGAGCGAAAGUUUACUUCACAGAAUGAUCAGAGUGCGAUGAAAAUGGAAAAGUCAGGUUUGUAGGAAAUCUUUGUUUUUAAUAUUAGUUUUAUCUUUAUAAAAUAUCCAAAUACCAAAUUCCACCUCUAUAAAACUUCUUCAAAGUAUAAGAAGCUCUUGAGAAUAUUAAAGAAUCUGUUAUUCUUCCAUGAAGAAUUCGUCUAAUAAUUUAUAAAUCUAACUUUUAAAAAAAGUUUGUAUUGCACUUUUAUGUUUACAAGCCAAAAAUUUAACACAAGAAAGUUGAAGUAUAUAUUAUAUGAACUAAAUCAUAAUAAUUAAGUAUCAAAUGAAUCCAACCUAAAAUGACUAAUUAUAUCACUUUCUCCAAGUGUUUGGAGUGAAUUUCAAAAUAGUCUAUAAAUUUUUAAUUUUUCAAUUUGCACUAUUGGGUCUAGUUUUAACAUACACAUUUUGAUCAAAUUGAUUGAUCAUUCAUUUAUUUGAUGACAUGUGAGUUAUUUUGCAAAGAACUCAUCAAUUUAACAUAGAUUUAGAUGCGCUCAAGAUAAAAGGUAUAACUACAUUAUUGCUGACCCAUUGUAGGCUAAAUCCACCAAUUUUCUCUUAGUGUAAAUAAUAUCGUUUGUUAAAAAAAAAGUUAUUGUUGCAAUCAUAUUUAGAAUAAGAAUGAUUGUGUAAAUCCUAGUGUAUCUAGUGAUAUUUUUUAAUAUUCCCAUCUUAUUAAAGUUGUAAUUCUAAAAAGGUAAGGAUUUAACAUAUUCUACUACUAUAAAUAAAGGCACAAUGGGUAAUACAACAGACACCUCACAGUUAAAUCUCUCUCUUUUCACUCUUAUUGCCACCCACCUCCCCCUCUUUAUCCCCUUAGAAUAGUUCAGUCAAAUAGGCCUACAACAUUUAUAAAUUGUAAAUUUUAUUUAAACCCAACUAUCUUACCUUCAAACCCAACUUAAAUAUUUUUGCCAUUAAAUUCUCCAUUUUGCCCCGACGUUAAUUAGAAAGUAAAAAUAAAUUAAAAGAACAUGAACCCACAUAUAUGCCCACCACUUUUCAGCAUCUUCUUCACUGAUGCUGGCGUGAAUCUCUUGUCGCCGGCGUCUCUUAACCACCUCCUCUUCCGUAUUAUCUCUCUCCUCAUUUGUCCCUCUCCUUCCUCUAUUUCUCACGCUCUUCAAUCAUAACGCCGGCAUCGGAGGCCUACAAGCAUAUUUGAAGCAACGUGAGGGCGAGGAGUGGCAGCCGCCCUUCCCUUAGCCGGAAAACAUGCCUAGGACCGCUUCGAUUGAAACUUGCACAAGUGGUGUGUCGUGGUAGUCCUUGGCUGAAAAAGAGCUCCUUCCUACAACUUUCAUGUCAGGGCGUUUGGCAUACAUCGUUGAGUCUGUAGAAAUGGAGACCAAAAGUCGUACGUCAACUAGUGUGGUGCUUUUGCUGCUGUUCAACUACUUGAAGCUACUUUUGCCGCAACUCAUUCAAACAGUCGGAGACGUGAAGAUCAAGAGCAAGAAGCUGAAGCAUAGUGCUUGAUAAUGCAUAGGAUACUCAAAUUGAGACAAUCCAAGGGUAGAACUUCCUCUCUAGUUACAAGUUUACGAGUGGUACAGAGCCAACAGUGCGGAGAACCACAAAUGUCUAUGGCCGAGAAGGGAUGGCGGAGUCGUCGACGAGGAAGGCGUUGAGCCGAAGAGGGAUCAUUUAUCUUGUAUGGACAAUUCGAAGUCAAAACUUGUGGAAACUAAAUGGUGUGCCAUAUAAGGCAGUUGUGACGCUAAAAGAAUUUGAAUUGAAGUUGCCAUGAAGAAUCGCCGGUGAGUCUUCCGUGGGGUUUGAGGUGGAAGAGAACCAUGGGCGUGAAAAGAGAUUUCAGUUUUGUUUAUUUCUUUUUUUCAAUUUUAAUCAAAGGAUGAAUUAGGAAUUUUAAGAAAAUAUUUUUUGUAUUGGGUGUAGAAAGAAGUUGAAUGGGUUCCAAUAAAAUUACCCAAUUUUAAAUCUCUUAAGUCUUAAUACAAUUUUGAAAUUUAAAUGUUCUUCUUAUUGAAAACAAAAAAAAAAAAAAAAAUCCCUCUGAUUUAAUGGUUUUUGAGGAGCGACCCAAACAAAAGGCGCAGGAAAAUAUAUUUUAAAGUUUUUCGGAUACAAAAUUAGUCGGAGUCGUACCGUCGUCUUCCCGAUCUGAAGCGUAGGUGUGAUCAGUCGCGUCAACCACCGCCGGCGGAGGAGAAAAUGGUGAAACAAAGAGGAGAAGAGUUGACCGAAGACGAAAAGAAGGCCUUAAGAGGCAGCAAAUUCGCGCCUCUCCCAUCCUUGCCCCCUCCUCGUUGCCAACCCAGGUUUCUUUUCCAUCCUUCUUCUUCCUCAUCUCUUAAUUUAGGGUUUUCUUUGUUCCCGUGAGUGAUUACAUACAACUAUAUGUAUGGAUAUAUGUAUGUGUAUCUAUAGGUUGGCUCAUCCUGGAGGUCCGUUGACAACGAACAAAGCGGCGGCGUUGGCGAAAUUUCUCGAGAGAAAGCUACAGAAUCCCGAUGGAUUGGAAUCCAUCAACCCGCAUCUUCUCGAACGCGCUGUUCAGAACGCUAAACGCACCGUUUUUGCAAGUAAUUACACUCUGUUCAAUUGAGCAUCUUGUUAAUCACAGGCAUUUUACUCCAAUCAAAUGUGAUUAAGUUAAAAUUGGGAUUUUUUUGAGUUAAUCAGGUGGCGCAUCGAAUUCUGGAAUCCGAAUACGGCAUGUUGACUCCUUUGAUGACUCUGAGACUGAGGUAAUUAUGUGUUUUGCUUUCAAGUUUUGGCUCCAUUUAGUCUUCGAUUACCAUGGUACUUGUAGCUCAAGUGAUUAAGUUAAGCGUAGGUAGUAGUUACCGUUGCACCCGAGGUACUCCGUUUGAUUUCCUCGCCCUCGAUAUUGGUUGUAUGGAAAGAAAAUGAGAUUACUUCCUCGAGUGUUUUUAUGAAAUUUGGGUGAAAAAUGCAGGACCCUCAACAGGAAGAAAAUGUGGAGAUUUCAGAGCUCAAGAAGCUGAAGAAGAAUAAGAAGAAGAAGAAGAUGAUGAAAAGUGAGAAGAAAAAGAGACAACAAAAGGUUGUUAACUUAUCACAGGCAAUUGUCUCAUUGACGGGGGUUUGUCUCUCGUUUUUCACUCGUUUUCUUUACGGGUUUAGGGAAGUGAAUUUCCGCACACCCCUUACUCACACUACCUACCGAUGUUUAUCUUUGGAUUUUGGAUUGAAUAAACCAAAGGCGGAUGAUCUUAUGCGGAAAUCAUUUCUUAUACGUUUAGGGGGCGUAUGUUUGCCCUCACUAAGUGGGACUGGACUGGACUGGACUAGCUGUUAGUCCAAUACUGUGUUUGUUCCAUGCUAGGACUAACAUUAAUGAGACUAAAGGGGACUAGCAUGGACAAAACCUUUCACUAAGAGGUCUUAGUGAGACCCCCCAAUAACCAUGGGACUAGCUAAGACUAUCCUCUCUCGUCCUCGUCAUGCUCAACAACCACUCCCAAUAGACUCCUCGUCAUCUCCGGUCACCUAGAUCAUAAUAAAAUAUUAAUAAUUUAUAUAUUAAAUAAUAUAAUAUUAGAAUUUGUUAUUAUCCAGUUUUGUAGUCUAACACUGCAUCAAACGCUUCAUUAAGUUAGUCCAGCUUAGUCUAGUCUAAGCCAGUCCAGCUUAGUCCUUGAAGCUAGUCCAGUCCGAGAUAGUCCGGCACAACAAACGCCCCCUUAAGGUAGCCUCGUUUCUUAUGAUAGUAACUUGUAACUUGUGAUGUGCUGCAGGUUAUGGAAGACUCGGGGGGCGGUGUGGUAAAAAGGCCUAAAAAGAAGAAAGUAAAGUUGUGAUGGGGGUGAAAUUAGGGUUCAACUUUUGUGCCUGCAAGUAGAGGCUUCAGAAGCAAAAGCUAGGUGGAAGUUGUGAAUUGUUCACUUUUGUACCAAAUGUAAGGGGCAUCAUUCUUUGAAUUAUACACUGAUUUUCUUGUCUCUUUUUACAUGACAGGUGUUCUGAUAUUUGUUAUGAUACGUUUUUUAAUUGUGAAAUCCAUAGAUCUCUAACUACUUGCUACAAUUAUUCGUUAAGGAGAUUUUCUAUGAUGCCUUUGAUAUCGGAUAUUCCAAAAUUUUCAACCAUUAGAUCUUUAGUUAAGAACGCAAAAAUUGAGAUAUAACCAUAUUAUCUGUCCAAUUAACCGAUUAGAUUAACAGUUUAACUAUAAUAGGCAGCUUUUAUUGACAUUCUAAAAAAUUCAUUUUGCAGUUCAUUCUUAACAAUACGAGAGAUUUUGUAAAGAGUGCAUAAUGAUCUUCUUGAAGUGUCAAUGACAUUUCUCGUAUAAUAUGAAAGGAUUUACACCCAUCAUUUCUUUGGGAUUAUUUUUUUUGAAAUACAAAUGAUAUUAUAAAUAUAAUUUACACUGGAGGGAGGGGGAGUGUUUGAAACGGAGAGAAUUUUAUUCAACAAUACGCACAGCACCUACGUGAUGUACGAUGAUAUUAUAAAUAUCAUUUGAAAUGCAAGUGAUAUUAUAAAUAUAAUUUACACUAGCUGCAUGAUGUACGAUGAACGAAUGUGAUUAGAGGAUCCUCGGAAUCCUCACUCCACAAAAUACGCACAGCACCUACAUUUAGGGUGUCAAGUGGAACCAUGUAAGCACCAACGCCAGUGUCUGAUUCCUAACAAUGCCCAUGCACUUGUGUAUUUCUCCGUAAACCGAAGGGUUCUGCGGACAGAAUGGCUGCAAGCUAGUCACGGCUUCGUCUAAUACUUGGGCGACCUCGGCCGGUGGAAACUGCCGUGCUGUACAAGUCUGCAUUUCGGGUGAGAAAAACCAAAAGCAAAGGUUAUAAACAGGUGAAUCCCUCAUUUUAUAAACUUGAUUGCUUGAAGAAAAUGGGGAAUUUCAGAUACGCGAGAGAAAAGCGUUGAUUGUAAUCCCUCAUUUUCUUAAUUACUCAAGUUUAUGAAUGGAUUGAACUAACAUAAGAAAUUAACCAAUUACCUGAAUCAUCAAAUUUAUGUUGUCAGAGUAGCAAUGGACAUUUACUCACUGCAAUCAUACUUCUGCAUAGCUGCAUCAACCAUUUUGCGGGCUUUUGCUCUUGAACUUUCAACAAUAUCACACACAUGACCUGCCGAUUCUUGGGCAUGACAAGAAUACCCAGAAGAGCUUGAAUUGCCACCAGGGUCUCCUAAACUUUCCACGGGCUUCGCCAAGCUAACUGCUAACUGCGGGACUCACUCUGUAUGUGUUGCAUUGUCUUAAGCAAAAAAGAGCAGAAGAAACCUGCGCAUGAAAGGCAAUCAGCUUGCUUAUAGUUGCAAUCAAAUACCAACAUGAUUAGAUGCUGAUACCUGGUCAUUGACUUGACUCCAACUGUAAUUUCAAGGCCCUGAAUGUAUCAGAUACUCCAAGAAGUGCACUCAUUGUUUUGGCAGCUGGAAACCACAACUAACCUGUGUCUGCUUUGAUGAUUUGAUGCUAUGAUGAGUCGAUGGCUGGAUAUAACAGGGAACAGCGCUCUCCACAUGGUCUCAAGAGGCAACCUUAUACCCUUCAGUCUUUCCUUCUUUCAGGUGUUCAUUAAUCUUGAGCUCCUUUAGGUUCUCAAUAUAUUUGUUGACAUUGACAUUGUGCUUUGUGAAAGAAGCAGGUAAAUUCUCCACUGGAUUCAAUGGCAUGCAAUCGAUAUCUUGUCAUGAAAUAUGUUACACCAUACCAUUAAAAGGAACGGGAACUGAAAAGGUGUACGUUAUCAUACACAUGACAUUGAAGACAUCAUUCAAUCAUUAUAAAUAUGUAAUAUUUCCAAAGAUAUGUGAGGGGGGUACUUACCAUCAUAUGUUCAACACCUAGUUCAGGCUGGUCAAACUGAACACUGACACCUACAAUGGUCGACGGUUAGUACAAUUCCGUUGUGGAUCUCUCUUGUCCUGGGAUGAAAGGCAAUGACAUGCUGUUCUACUGAUAAAGGACGAGCUAAGUCAGUUGGAAGUUCUUCCCUCGUUCCAGCAUUAAGUUCAGCAUAAUGUGUUCUAACAGAUUCCCGGUACUGAUUAAGCUUCUCUUUUUCUUCCUUCAGAAACUGCUCAGAAAAUCUCCGCGGUCUGCCAAGGGAACUGCAUCAACGAGCACCAGCAAAAAUUUGGCAGAACUUUAUUAAAAAAUUCUCCAAAAGGCAAUGUCAUUUUCGAUUCAAAAGUAGCCCCUAAAAAAGAGAAGUUCCAAUCAAAGAGGAAGGUCAGGGACAUUUACCUCCGUAUGACACCCCAUUCAACACGAGUUAAUCUUGGAACAUGACCUAAUCCAACAUGAUUCAAGUACUCCACAAACUCCCUUGUAGCAAGCCAUGGGUAAUCAAUUGCACUGUAAAACCAUUCAAAAGCACACCAUCUUUGCACUUGAUACCGAGACAAGCAAUUAGAAGGUUUUUCCUGAAAAUGUAAACAUACACCUAUAAAUGAAACAAAAUAGAAUGAAAAAUAUCUAGGUGGCAAUAUAAAUGACACGCCACACCGUAACCUUAAUAUUUAGUUCUCUGUUACGAAAUGAAGGAACCAGUUUGUCAGGCUGUUCAUCUACAAUACCCUCAGUAGACCUUCUAUCCUUCUCCAUUGAUGAUUUUUGCAUGUCUAGCUCAGCAGAAGAAAAUGCAUUCCGUGGAGGAUUCACCAAUUUCCCUUGCCUUGGGUGUGUAAUAUAAUGAGAAGGCUGUUUACCUUUAUUCAUAGACUUAUUCACCUCAACUGUAGCCUGAAAUCAAGUGUAAAUACCAAAAUUUAAUAGAAAUUAAAGGCACGUGAAAAUUAAAAAGACUAAUCCACAUUGUAACUAGCAUAAGAAAUGACAUGAUAAAAUGGAAAUUAUAUUUUUGAUCUUAAAGUCUUCUGAACUUCCAAAAUAGCAAUCUAAGAAGAAAAGGGGGAGAGAGAGAGUCCGAAUGAAAAGGCAGCACGCCUCAAUCUGUUGAUUGUCACUCCAAUGACAGUCUGUUUGAGCGUCAUUAUAUACCUGCCAUUAAUGUCACAAAUGUUCAUCAAUUUAAGCCAAAACAAGAUGGACCAUAUUAAGCACGUCGAGUAAAGAAAAACUAAGCGAAUUUUUAGGGGAAGUGAUACUUGUCCUUACUUUAAACGGAAACAGUUGUUUUCUUCUUUGCAGUCCGGUGUUAGACUGAUGACCUCCCUCUUUAAGGUUACCCGGUUUAGAUGUUUUCAAAGCAGUGUGUUCAACCCCAGGAAUUGAGCGACUCCUUUUUGUUUUAGACUCGUUAGCAAUACAAAUAUCUUCUUCCCAGACAUAUGCAGAAGACUCUAAACACAGAACCAACAAAAAAUGAUUGUCGAGUCAAAUACAAUCAGUUAGCAGUUUAAGAGUGUUUAUACCAUAUUUAGGGCCUCGUAUUUAGACCUUGUAUAAAUACUCGGGGGACUUAAAUAUAAUUAUGUAAUAAAGAAGAGGCAAAUAUGUAAUUAGGGGAGGAGCCCUUAUUCUAUAAAAGGGCCUCCUCACCCUCACAAACCCUAAGUCUCUCCUCACCCCUCUCAAAGCUUUCACUCUCAGAGCUCUCUCUUCCUCACUUCUCAGAGAAAUAUAAUACAAUCAGUGUGGACGUAGCCCAAACCUUGGGGUGAACCACGAUACAUCUUGUGUUAUUACAUUUCAUUUCAUUCAUUCAUUUACAUGCAGAUUCACGGUCGGAUUUACGUUGUUCCAAGACCUCCGAUUUUGUGCAUCAACAUUUGGCGCCGUCUGUGGGAAUCGAUACGAAAAGUUGUGUCGGUUCUCUUUUUAUUUUUUCACCUCCGCCGUGAAUAUGCAGAAACUCAAUAACCAUGCAAUCAGAGAACCAAAUCAUGAAGCCACCACUAAGAUUGAAACUGUUGCUAGUGUUCUCAUCAAUAGUUUUGAUGUCGUACAAGUGUCAGGCAUGAGCUACCAACCUCCAAGAAUCGGGCAGGAGCUACCAUGUCAGGCAGGAGCUACCAAUCUCUCUCUAGACUCUUUCUCUCUAACCAACAAGAGAUCCGACAGACAGAGGCCCAUGUUCAAGGUGAUCAACAUUCCAGCCCACGCUAUGAGACCCACAAAAACCUGAGCACCGGUCCAUCGCACCAGCUCCGCGGCUCAGGCCCCUUCAACGGGAAGUCCUCAUUCGCCUUCCCUGUGACCCGCAAGGCCAACAACGACGCCAAAGAAUAUCACAUACCAUUUUUUGGUGAGUCAAUGAGAUACACUGGAAAGUUCAGCUCCACCACUCUAAUCUUGUAAAGCCGCCACCUUUGCCGCUCAUCACCACCUCAUCGACAACCCAAACCGAACCGUUACUGAAGAGGUCCACACCAUAUUCAUCACUGGUUUUCCAGAGGAUGUGAAAGAGAGAGACCAGAAUCUGCAGAUGCACAGGAAUUUCAGAGAUGGGAGUUCAGCGACGUUAUUUCCCACACGCUACCGCCUUCAACCUCCACACGACGCCACUAGUCAGCAAUCAUGUGCGUCUGUCGCGCUUUUGUGUCUAUGACUGUUUAAGGCGAGAUCAGUCCAGGGGUGUGCGUUGGGGGCCUCUGAUAUGUCGGUUGCCAUCUGGCGUCUGUGAUGGGAAGGACACAUACCUCGCGAGAAGACAGUGCCUUCUCAAACCAUACUUUCCUCGUCAGUCUUACAGACCCCCCGCGUGAACGAUACAGACGAUCUCGCAUCCAUCGUAUCCCUUGUUUUCUCCCACCAUCCUCAUUUGACCACUGGUCCAACCUCUGUCACACACUCUUUCUCUCUCUCUUUCUCUCUCAAUGGAUGCUGAUUCUUCGGAAAAGUCAUCAUCCUUGAGCUUACCUCUAAUCCUUGGUAAGGAGCAACAUGAGCAAGCUGGAAGCAAGGGACUUUUAAGCACCUAGCAGUGGCGCAUUUGGGCAUUCAGUAGCAAGGAUGAGUUGGGUCGGACGAGAGAACCCCCUUGAUGUCGUAUAAGUGUCAGGCAGGAGCUACCAACCUCCAAGAAUCGGGCAGGAGCUACCAUGUCAGGCAGGAGCUACCAAUCUCUCUCUAGACUCUUUCUCUCUCUAACCAACAAGAGAUCCGACAGACAGAGGCCCAUGUUCAAAUACUGAGGCCUAUGUUCAAGGUGAUCAACAUUCCAGCCCACGUUAUAAGACCCACAAAAACCUGAGCACCGGUCCACCGCACCAACUCCACGGCUCAGGCCCCUUCAACGGGAAGUCCUCCUUAGCCUUCCCUAUAACCCGCAAGGCCAACAACGACGCCAAAGAAUAUCACAUACCGUUUUUUGGCGGGUCAAUGAGAUACAUUGGAAAGUUCAGCUCCACCACUCUAAUCUUGUAAAGCCGCCACCUUUGCCGCUCAUCACCACCUCAUCGACAACCCAAACCGAACCGUUACUGAAGAGGUCCACACCAUAUUCAUCACUGGUUUUCCAGAGGAUGUGAAAGAGAGAGACCAGAAUCUGCAGAUGCACAGGAAUUUCAGAGAUGGGAGUUCAGCGACGUGAUUUCCCACACGCUACCGCCUUCAACCUCCACACGGCGCCGCUAGUCAGCAAUCAUGUGCGUCUGUCGUGCUUUUGUGUCUAUGACUGUUUGAGGCGAGAUCAGUCCAGGGGUGUGCGUUGGGGGCCUCUGAUGUCGGUUGCCAUUUGGCGUCUGUGAUGGGAAGGACACAUACCUCACAAGAAGACAAUGCCGUCUCAAACCCUACUUUCCUCGUCAGUCUUGCAGACCCCCCGCGUGAACGAUACAGACGAUCUCGCAUCCAUCGUAUCCCUCGUUUUCUCCCACCAUCCUCAUUUGACCACUGGUCCAACCUCUGUCACACACUCUUUCUCUCUCUCUUUCUCUCUCAAUGGAUGCUGAUUCUUCGGAAAAGUCAUCAUCCUUGAGCUUACCUCUAAUCCUUGGUAAGGAGCAACAUGAGCAAGCUGGAAGCAAGGGACUUUUAAGCACCUGGCAGUGGCUCAUUUGGGCAUUUAGUAGCAAGGAUGAGUUGGGUCGGACGAGAGAACCCCCUUGGUGGCUUCGGUGUCUCCCACACACGCUGGGGACACAGAUUUUUCUAACAUUUGCAAGUGGAGCAAUCAUGUGCUCACAUGUUAAAAGAAAAAAAAAAGGCAGUGAAAAGAGAAAAAGAAAAAGGGAUCAGGCCUGUUUUCAUCCACUGCGCCUACAAAAAUUAAAAAAAAAAAAAAGAGUGAGAAUGGACCGGUUCAUAUACUGAUAAUGAUGAGUAUUUAGAUCAAUACAGGUGGUUGAAGGAGGAGCAGUGGAGUAAAGUGGGGUUUUCAAAAAUGUAAAGUGGAAGAUAAUAUGCUCGAUGCUCAGAUUGAUGUAGCCUAUGCAGCAUUGGAAGAUGCUGGGUUUUCAAAAAGAUGGAAAUUAUUAUACAGGGUGGGCUUCACGUGGGGGUGACGAUGAAGCUGCAACUUUUGGUGCGAUGGGGUCUAUGAUCUGACUCCAUUGUUUCUACUCAUCCCUCUCGUCGCAGAGACACUGUAAAGAUUAAUUAGGUGCACAUGCAUGACAUCAACGCACAGACAGACAGAAAAAGAACGCAGUGGGAAACAGAAACAAAAGCAGAAAGCAAAAGAGAAAGCAAAAGUAAGGAAUAAACACCCCACCAGAAUGAUGUGAUUUACUUUUGUUAUUUCUGAAUGAUGUAAUUUAUUUUCCUUAUCUUUCGGACACAUUUGUAUAAACCUCAUCAGAGGGUUAAAAAAAAAAAAAAGCAAAGCCCAAAAUAAAUGGGCUGGAAUGUUGUGUGGAGGUCGAAGGCCCAUAAGCCUAAAAUAGCUCCAACUAGGCGAUCAAAAGUACGCCCAGUACUCCACAAUUAUUCGACAACCUGCCGUUAUUACCACCAACCAGGUGAUCAAAAGUAUGUUCAGUACUCCAAAAUUAUCCGGCAACCUGCCGCUAUUACCACCAACCAGGUGAUCAAAUGUACAAUCCGUACUCUAAUAUCAUUUGGCAACUAGCCAUUCAUGCCACCAACCAGGUGAUGAAAAGUACAACCCGUACUCUAAAUAUUAUUUGGCAACCAGCCAUUCAUGCCACCAACCAGGUGAUGAAAUGUAAAACCCGUACUUUCCUUCAUGCCACCAACCAGGUGAUCAAAAGUACGCCCAGUACUCCAAAUUAUACAUGAGCAUUACUUAUGUCAUUCAUACAUAAACAUUCAUGAGCAUCACUCAUGACAAUCAUACAUAAACAUUCACGACCAUCAUUCAUGUCAACAUUCAUGAGCAUCACUCAUGUUAACAUUCAUGAGCAUCACUCAUGACAACAUCCAUGAGCAUCACUCAUGUCAAUCAACAUAAACAUUCAUGAGCAUCACUCAUGUCAAACAGCUUCAAAAACUUCAUUUACAGAGCUCUAGCUUUAAAAGCUUCAUUUACAGAGCUCUAGUUUAAAAGCUUCACUUGCAAAGCUUCACCUACAAAGCUUUAGUGCAGGGUAUAUUAAUACCGCCUUCGAACAACCCCCACUUCGGCCCAUACAUGGAUCCAAUUUGAAGUCUCCAGCCAACAGACUUUAUUGACCGAAGACUUGGGGGACUACAUUAUGUACCAUAUAUUGGGCCUCAACUGGGCCUCAUGAAAAAUACUUGGGGGACUUAGCCCAUUACUUAUGUAUUGAGGAGCGAGCCCUUAUUCUAUAAAAGGGACUCCCUUACUUUCACUAGAGAGCACCCAUCAUUUAUGUAUUGAGGAACGAGCCCUUAUUCUAUAAAAGGGACUCCCUCACCAUCAUUAGAGAGCAUCAACUCUAGCCCAUCAUUCAUGUAUUGAGGAGCGAACCCUUAUUUUAUAAAAUGGACUCCCUCACCUUCAAACGCCGUAAGCCGAGCUAACCAAGGCAACAUAAGCCACGAGCUGAACAACCUCGCAGCGUGUGCUACUUCUAGUUGAGCGUCAUUUUAGAUUGAGCACUGCCUUAGAGAGCAUCGCCACCUACUGAGCAACCGCCUCGCCGCGAGCAUCAACUCUAGCCCAUCAUUUAUGUAUUGGGGAAUGAGCCCUUAUUCUAUAAAAGGGACUCCCUUACCAUCAUUAGAGAGCAUCAACUCUAGCCCAUCAUUCAUGUAUUGAGGAGCGAGCUUUUAUUCUAUAAAAGGGACUCCCUCACCUUCAAACGCCGCAAGCCGAGCCAACCAAGGCAACAUAAGCCACGAGCCAAGCAACCUCGCAGCAUGUGCUACUUCUAGUUUAGUAUCAUUUCAGAUUGAGCACUGCCUCAUAUCGAGCAUCAGUUCAAGACAGCAUCUAGUUACUUCGGCCCACACAUGGACUGAAUUUCAAGUCUCCAGCCAAAAGACUCUCUUGACUGAAGACUUGGGGAACUACUUUUUAUACCAUAUUUAGGGCCUCGUAUUUAGACCUCGUAUAAAUACUCGGGGGACUUAAAUAUAAUUAUGUAAUAAAUGAAGGAGCAAAUAUGUAAUUAGGGGAGGAGCCCUUAUUCUAUAAAAGGGCCUCCUCACCCUCACAAACCCUAAGUCUCUCCUCACCCCUCUUAAAGCUCUCACUCUCAGAGCUCUCUCUCCCUCACUUCUCAGAGAAAUAUAAUACAAUCAGUGUGGACGUAGCCCAAACCUUGGGGUGAACCACGAUACAUCUUGUGUUAUUUACAUUUCAUGCAGAUUCACGGUCGGAUUUACAUUGUUCCAAGACCUCCGGUUUUGUGCAUCAACAAAGAGGAUCUAUAAUGUAAACUGCAAUAACAUUAAAAUCAGCCUAUUUAGCUGAUUUUGUAAAUCCUUCAGACAUCCAAAAGCAUACUUAAGGAAAACUGACACAAAAGACUUCUCAAACUAUUGAUAAGAAGUACAGAUAAAACAAAGACAAACAUAAUGUUAAACUUUUUCAAGCAUGCAAAGUCUAAUUCCAAUUAAUAUCUACAUGAACUACAAAUAAACACUUUUUAAUUUAUUUUAUUUUAUUUUUAUAAAAGAGAUAAGAAGAAAGAUUGAUGGGAAGUUGAUAAUUCAAGCAAAAACAUUGUAUUUGAUCAAAACCUCUUGAUAAGGUACCAGAUAAGCUACUAAGAAUUUUUUAAUUUUGAAAUUGAAUGCUAGCAUUAGAAGGAGAAAAUGAAAAACACAAACUAAACAUUAAUAAAUUAAAUACAUACACCUCUUAAAAGAAGGACAUGAUAAGAGAUCAAACCCAAAGUUCCUAGCAAAAGAGGGUUAUAAAAGCUACUUUUCAAAGCAUAAUGUGUUGCCUAUAUAAGCAGUUUUGGGCAUCAUCAAGGAUAGAUCUGCCAAAGUUUGUAGUGCAUCAAAGGGAGAGCUGCAUGGAGAAAAGAGUUAAAAUGAAUGUUAUCUGGACAUGCUUCAACUGUUUAGAAGACAGCAAUCGAAUUCAAAGGUGCUAUCGAAAACCAUACAUACAAAAACAAAAGCCAAAUCUGACAGAGUUCAAUGCAAGAAACUAGCAACACAAAAUAAACCUACUUCAACUAUACCUGUCCUACACAUCAAAAGUAUGCAGCUCGAAAUUGCAAAGGAAACAUGUUGUACAAAGCGUACCUAAAUAUUAGCUAUAGAGGAAAGGAGAGGUUAAGAAUGGGGAGGGAGCCUGGCUCAAAUGUUUUCUAACAUACCUUCUGCAACCAGAGCUUUUUUACUUUUGUUUCUUUGUUCCUUGUAGAAGGAUCUUGCACUUUUCGCAACUUUAGUUUCAAGUUUUCCCUUGAUAGUACCUUUUUUCUCUCCUUCCUCUGUUCCACUACCAGCUUCUUUAAUGUCUUCAAAAUGAUUGCUUUUACUUUCAACCUUUUGCUUCUUUACAGGGUAUCUUUUCCCAUUGCAUACCUUUGAUCUCUAUCAAAGUAUUCAUUGUCAGGUUCUGUGCUUCCAAAGCUCAAUUCAUAACCACCUUCAUCCAUUACACUAGCACGGCGCUUGGUUGUAGUCAUUUCCGGCUCUGCACACUAUAUGUCAGAAACAACCAUGAAUUUCAAACUAUUAUAGUGAAAGAACUGUUAGGAGAGCAAUUAACCUUUCUUUCAAAUAAUUUUACCAUCAUUUCACGAUUCGUAACAGUUGGUGGUGUGCCUUUGGCUUUUCUCUUAGAUUUCCAAGAAACCAAGGGAGAAUCACCUCUAUGUGAGGCCUCAGUCAAUGCCAAUGCUAUCUCAUGAGCAACAUCAUCGUUUUUAGUGUCUGCACUGGGUUUUAAACCUAGCCUGGCUGGUGAAAUAUACUUUCUACUGUUAUCCUUAUCACUAGAAUAUGCAACAGGGACUCGAGGAGUUCUUUUUUUAACAGCAUGAGGCCUAAUUCCUGAAACAGAUUCCAAGCACAUCAAUGGCAUUAACAUCUUUGAAGCCAAUAUAUGAUUAAGACGAAAAGGCAAAGAGAACUUUGAAGAGAACCAAGAAGAAAAGAAGAGGAAAAGAAAACAAAUGAGAGAGAAGAAAUAAAAAGCAAGUAGAAUAAUUGCAGGAAAAGUAGGUCAAAUGAGUAGAAUAAUUAAAGGAAAAACAAAGAAAUAAAUAACGAAAAUCAUACACACGCGAAGAUCAUAUCAUUUCCCACCUGAGCGCCUAUUGUUUAACAAUGACAAGCAGUCAUUACUUUAUGCCAUUGGAGGGGAUUGUGAAGAAUCUGGGAUAUGUCCUAAUCCUUUUGCGACCUCAGUCUGAAAUUUUACCCUUGCAUGCAUGCUUUUGAGGUUUCCUAGGGGUUCUUACACCCUCAAUGCUUUCUCGUUCACUGUCACUUCCUCCCUGCAAGGCCAGAGUCCUCUAAAUGAGUGCCAUAUGGACCAUUCUCAAAGGACAAGGAUUGUCUGCCCUCCACUUCCGGUGCCCUCCUAUUUGUGCGGUCACGGUUAAGCCACGUCAACAUUUUAUAUUACUAUUCAUUUUUGUCUUAUUAUAUCUAUAAAAAAACAAUAUAAAAUGUUGACGUGACUUAACCGUGACCACACAAAACAGGAGAGCACAGGGAGGACACUAGAAGUGGAGGGCAGACAAUCCUUGUCCAUUCUCAAACCACUAGCUGAAUUUAUACCAACAAUAAAAGAUCAUUAAACUCAUUUACGGAUUAAUACACAUGCACAUGGUCACCAUAAUGGAGGCAAAUAAUUUUCACACCCUUCUCCAUUUCGGGGCUUUGUCCUAAAUAAAUUCAACAAGAAUCGGAGGAAACACAUUAAAAGGGGGUGUGCAGAAAGUGAAAAGGCGUGUCCGGAAAUCAUUUCCCUAAACGGAUAGAAAAAUCGCCAAAUAUUACAUAACAUGACAAUGACAAGUAACUCGAACAGAAAAAAAAGACAUUGAAAAAAAAACAACUUUUAAUCCUAAGGAAGCAAUAAUUAGCAUUUCAUUUUAAGGGUAAAUAAGAAACAAACUUUUGCUCACAUGCUAGUUACCCCUUAGAUCAUCUCCAACCCUUGGACUAAAACCUAAAAAUUUUAGCCCAGAAAAUUUAGGUUUUAACCUAGAAAUCGUUUUUUUGCUCCAAUCCUUUUGAGUUAAAAUUUUAACCCCAGAUCAUUAAAGAAUGAAUUUAGAUUAAUUUGUUUUCUUAAAGUAACUUUUUAAACGAAAAUAUUAUGUAGACUAUACUAAUUUAAUUUUAUGAACAUUAUAACCUAAAAGUAACUUUUUAACCAUGAAAAUCGUGAAACACUAUGAAAGAAUAUGAACACAUAAAAGAUUUUUUUUUAAUUACUUUAGCCGUUGGAUUUAAAUUUGAACUGUUAGAUUUUUUUUUUUUUUUACUGUUGGAUUUCAUCAAAUUAGAUCUUAACCAUUGAACUAAUGAAUUUAUAAAUAUAAAAUUAAAAAAAAAAAUAGAUAUAUAUAUAUAUAUAUAUAUAUAUAUAUAUAUAGUGGACCAACCCCACUAACCCAGGGAAAUCCUGGGCUAAAUUUGGCCCAAAAAUGAGUUUUGAGUUUUAACUCAUAUUUGCCCUAAGGGUUUGAGUAAGUUGGAGUAAGUUUAGAACUUAAAAUUUGAGUUUUACUUCAAGGGUUAAAGUAGUUCUUAACAUGUAAACGAAAAAAAAAGACGUCUUAAGGCAGUAACUAGCUUGUAAGCAAGAAAUUAAACAUGUUUCCAACACGGUUAAUGGAAGAACUUCAUUACUGUUUCCUUUAGAAAUAAACCAAUGCCAGGUUUUGGUUAUUCAUUUAUUCCUUUCUCUCUCUGUGAGAGACCUUCCCUCUUCCCUCUGUUUGAGGGUUAUUCUCACCGAUAUGUGUGAGUGGUUUCCAAUCGAGUCCAAUUUCUGUGCCGUUGAUCUUAUCUCCGGCUAGAAUCGAUAGGUUUUCUUUUGUCUCUCUCUCUCUCUCUCUCUCUUCUUCCAUCCGCUAUUUUUUUUCCUUGGUUUUAUUGGCCGAUUUGCCUUCUUCUCUCCCCUCUGCUGUCUUUCAUCCAUAUUCAUCCAAUUUCCGAGCUUCAGUCACCCUUUGCCGCGAUUUGUUGCGGUGUUUCGAGUUGGUGUGUAUUGAUCUGGUGCUUCCACUAGGUUGGGUGUUCCUUGCACCACCACCUUCUGUUUGCUGUUUGCCCUUGUUGGCAGUGUUGCUCGUGGACUGCCAUGAGCUUCUCUCACUUGGCUGCAGAUUCUCUGUUGUUUGUAGUUGUGCUAGGAGUGAAGCUUGGGAUUGGCUAUUGGUAUCGAUGAGGUGAGGCUUAGUUUGGGGUACGAAUUUGGUUGGAUCAACAUGCACAGCUGUUGUUUUGGUGGUUGCAGCGACGGUUUUGGCGAAAGACGCAACGGAUCCAAUUGUUUCUGCGUUUUCUUUUGUUUUGGUCUCAACUUUUGGUUGGGCCACUGUUGUUUGAUUGUGUUUUUUGUUUUUGGGCCUCUGUGUUGUAAAUUUUGGACCUUUGUAUUGUAAUGUUUGUUGUUGAUAAUGAAUGACGCCUUUGAUCCAAAAAAAUUAAAAAAUGCACUAUGAACACUUUCCUUUUGUCUUCUUCUUAUGAGGUACGGUUUCCUUUUUGGUGGAUAUAAAAAAACAGCCAAACUUGAACAUUACCAGAGGUUAAGUGCAUAUAGUAAUCUGAAAAACUCGGUUCAAAUUUUAAUUAAUUUUACCAGUAGAAAAUAGUGGUCCGUCAUCAUUGCUGUCAGGCCAAUAACAGAAGCAACACCUUCAGGAAGAGAUAAAUAGGCCUGAAAACAGGAAAGACAUCCUCACCAAAGUUCACGGAUCAAGUGAUUCAGGCCCUUAAAAUUUGAUCAAAUGGUUAAAAACAAAGAGCAAUUUUAAAAGUUAUAAUAAUUUUAGCUAUUAAGCAAAUUUCAAGAGCUCGAAUCACUUAAUCUGUGGACUUUGGUGGAACUGAAAAUAUAGCACAAUCUUGAGUGACAUGCUACAUAUAAUGCUUAUCAUUAAAACAUAAAAAGCAUACACAUUUAUUUUCUGCAGGAAAAAACAAAGUUAACUCAAGAUCAUGGCAUCAACGAAGUUUGUAAAACUAUGAACACAAGACAUAAAUGUGUUGACUCCCGCUAUGCCUAGUCAAAUUCUAUUAUAUACUUUCAUAUUGGCUUAAAAAAAUCAAGCAACGAAACUUCAUUGAUUAUUAACUGAAUUCCGUUCCACUAAUCUGUACGUAGCCAGAUUUUUGUUUUUAAUUUUUAAAGUAUCUAAUUUGUAGAGCUCAACAAACUAAAAUGAUGUCAAAUCUUAUUUUCUGAUGCAAAAUAAGUCAGAAUAUACACUUGAAAAUUUCUCAAACUGCAGAAAUGAGUUGCCACAACAUCGAUUGUGCAUGACAUACCGAUGCGGUUCGAGAACAAUCUCACUUAAACUAUUUAAUGUUACAAUUUAAUUAGGAAAUUAUUAUUGACACUCCAAACUUCGUCUUAAUUGUUUGUCUAAUGCGAAAUACAUAAGAAUCUAUACUACAUUGGCAUUGUCCAUAUCAUAUUGGCCCAUUUUGUUUUUUGUUUUUGUUUUGAGUACAUCAAUAUUUUUACACUAAGAAGAGGGGGAGUUCGACAAAGCCAUACAAUGGGCAAUCUAAUUUGGUAUGGAAUUCACCUUCCAAGAUAUUCGAACCUAAAACCUCUCACUUUCAAGUGAAAAUUAAUACCCAGAUUAUAGUAUUAAGUGCUUGACCCAUUUUGUUUUGUUUAUAAAGUUUCACUGGUUAGAAACAAAACAUUACAUUAGGCCCGAAAAGAAAAACACAUAAAAAAACCAACAGAACCAAGCCCACUAAAAUGAACAAAAGAAGGCCCAAAUCGGAACAAACCCUAACACAACUACAACUAAAAUACCUUGUGGUGCAAUAUAAGAAAAUAAAACUUUUUUUUUUGUUGAAGAAAAUUAAAACUUUGUAACCCAUUUUAAAAAUCGCCCCAAACCUAAAAGGUAUAGAAUGUAAUUUACCCAAAAACUAAAUAGAUUAAAAAUACUUUAGUGAAUAUAAAUGAGUGAGGAUCAUCUUUGUGAGGAUCUUGGGGAUCCUCAAAUCACAUCCGUUCAUGGUACAUCGUGUAAUCAGAAAUCAUUGUAAAUUUUUUUAUUUAAAAUUGAAUAUAAAUAGUAUAUGGCAAAAACAAGAAUCUCCAUAAUCCUCACAAAGAGGAUUUUGAUCCGGAUCCGGAUCCGGCGAGGAACCUCUCUCAUAUAUAAAUAUAAGUAAAAUACAAUUUUUCAAAAGAAAAAGGGAAAAAAUGGAUUUUAAAUAUAAAGCAAAACCAACUAGUUGUAACUUGUGGGAGAUGAACACCUUUUUUUACCAUUUUUGGUAAGAAAAUGAAACCCACUAGUGGAAAGGAAAGCUAGAUAUUUUGUUGACAGCCCAAUAUUCUCACAUGCAACACAACACAACAACUCAUGGAUCAUUAAAAGCCCACCACACAAAUUCACAACAAAACCAAAUCCUUUGGACCAACCAACAAAAUUACAAAAUUACAAAAUUAAAUUAAAAAAAAAAAUUAGAAAAGAAAAAAAAAAAAAGAAAAAUCACAGAGAUACACACAGCUCGCCGACAUUUGAUGACAUACGAUUGCUACAGUCCAAAUCAGAGCCAUUGCCACCAAAUCUUUAAAAGUGCCACUUGUGGCCAAAUCUCGUCCAAGUCAAACAAACCCACUUUUCCACCUGGUCACCGCCCUUUCCGGUUCCUCCUCCUCCCAGUCCAUCCUUGCCCAACCGGGUGCACCCGGUCACACGUCUCACCUGCUUGCACUGAAUAAUUUACAUUUAUGGACUUCUCACCAACCACGCAUGUACGCAUGUCUUUCUAGUUCAACACCAGGCGCCGACGUCCCGGAAGAUCUCAGCCGUACAUUUCACAGCAAGGGAGGUGAUCCGUUGAUUUUAUCCGACUAACCUCGUCUUAUACAACCAAAUGGGUGGGGUAGUUCCAACUGAAUAAAGUCUGGAGAACCACGCGCAUUAACAGUGCGUGGACAGCACACUGAACAAGUUAGGCAACUAAAGCUGAAAAAACAGGCUCGGGUUUCCAAGCAACGACUGAGCGUCCGUACAUGACGUACGGCCCGUUGACGUCACUGUUACACGCUCUGUGCGGGAGCGUGGUUUUCGAUGCAGUUGAGAUCGUUAAUGCAUUCGUGUCGGCUUGUGGUUGGUUGAUCGAGAAAGUUGCUUUUCCCCCUGUCUGGCUGCGUCGGUUCUGCUUGUAUGGGCGAAACCCCAUACUCCUGCUGUGCUCUUACACUCUCGGUUGAGGAGAAGGAAAAUCCAACUUAGAACAUUAUUACAAGUCUCAUACGAAAAUAUAUAUUUGGAUAGGGAUGUGCUAUUCACACAUCCCAAAUUAAUUCCCACACAUCCCUUGCUAUUUAUGUCCGUUGAUCUUCUUCAAUUCAUCCGAUCCGACUGCCGAAAAUUAGAAGGGUGUGUGAGAAGUAAAAUGAAGUGUGUGGAUAUCACACCCCUUUGGAUACUCACUAUUGUAUUAUGUGAGCGUGACGCUAAUAUGAUUAGAUUAAUAGGAAAAAUAAAAUUUUGAGCUUUAAUCAAAAGAAUAAAAAUAUGUUGUAAGUAAGUAGUACCAUGAGUGACUUUUUAGAGUAAAAAUGUUUUUUUUCAUUAAAAAUGAAUAAUACCGAAAGUGUUUCAUUAAAACUCCAUAGAUUAAUCUUAGUGCAACGUUGCUGACAAAUGCGCUGCAGUGUGCAACGUGCCUAAUUGGUUAUGCUAUAUUUGGUUUGUUUUCUUUGUUGACGAGAUGCCAACAACCAUUAUGUUGUGAUGGUAGAAAGAAGGUAAUUGCUAUGUUUAUAUAUAUCAUUUCAAGUAAUUUCACAACAGUGAAACGAAAUUAGUGAAUUUUUUAGUGGAUAAAUUUUUUUGUAUAAAGUUAUUGUAUCAGACUCUUAAUAAAUUAAUAUAGUGUAUUUAUUAUGUCUGAUUCAGUAAGUGUCAUCUGCAGCAUGCUCAUGAAAUUCUUUUGCUCUUUUUUUAAUAGUGGAUUGAAGUGUAUUACGUGAGUACGGCGUUAAUAUGGUUAGAUUAAACAAAGCAUUAUCUCUACACUCAUAUGGUUAGAUUACAAGUGGACAGUGCCACCAAACAAGCUAGUUCAUCGGUUUUGAAAGAGGAUGCAAGUGCACCACGUAAGCAUGACGUUAAUAUGGUCAAUUUCAAUGAACCGUUAUCUACGCGCUCAUAAAAUCUUUUUUCCAUUUUAAAUAAUUUUACAAUAACAAAAAUGUAAUUAGUAUGAUUUGGUGGUCAUUUUGCAACUGACGCAUGUAGUUGUGAUUUGGAACGCUAAAUUUUGGGUUUGUAAAAGUUUCUUAGUUUUGUUUAUGGGUUGAGCUAGUUCAUCAGUUUUGAAAGAGGAUGCAAGUGUACUAUGUAAGCAUGACAUUAAUAUGGUCAAUUUCAAUGAACUGUUAUCUAUGCGCUCAUAAAAUCUUUUUUCCAUUUUAAAUAAUUUUACAAUAACAAAAAUGUAAUUAGUAUGAUUUGGUGGUCAUUUUGCAACUGACGCAUGUAGUUGUGAUUUGGAACGCUAACUUUUGGGUUUGUAAAAGUUUCAUAGUUUUGUUUAUGGGUUGAGCUCUUGUCACACUUCUCUUGUUUUUUUGUUUUGUUUUAGUAUAACGAUAUAUUUACAUUAAGGGGGUAGGAGAAUAAAUUGGUUGCGACCUCGUUAUUCCCGAGAUUCGAACUUAAGACAUCUCACUUACAAGUGAAAAAGAAUAUAACUAGACUGUAGUACUAACUAAGUGGCCACAUCUCUUACUUUGUUAUUCUAUUUUUUGUUAUUUUGGUGCAACGUUAACUAUGUUAUUUUUUUCUUCCAACUGUUAUUGUAAUAUACUAUUAUUGAACCAUAAUUGAGGAGUUUCUUUCUUCCUCUAGUUUGAAUUUUAGUUGUUUCUCACUAAAAUGAAUAUAAAUUAUUAUAAGUUCUAAACUAAUUAAGUACUUUAAAAAUAUUCUUUGUAUGCUUGAGUAACUGAUAUUCACAUUCUAAAAAUUUUAGGGAUCAAACUUUAAUAAAACAAUUAAAAAUCGUUGUGCACUCAUCCCUUAUUAAAGAGGGAAUAUGCAUGAUUUCGAUGUUACCACUAACAAAAUGCAAGAACAACAGUUUCAAAUAUAUCAUUUCAGGCAAUUUAACAACAAAAAGAAAAUUUGUUAAUGAGGAUUUUACCUAAAGUGAAUAAUGGUGACAAUUUAUUGAAGACAGUUGUAUCUGACGCUUAUUCGAUUGACAUGAUGUAUUACGUGAGCAUGAUGUCAAUAUGGUAUGAUUAAGUGAUCGUUAUCUACACUCUUGUAAAAUGUUAUUUCACUUUUUUGAUGCGUAUAAGUGAAUGCAAGUUCACAAUGAAAAAUGCCACUAAACAAGUUGGUUUGUGAUAUUUUGCAAGAGGAUCCAAGUGGCGGUUUUGCUUUAUAACAUUGGUGUGAUAUAACCUGGGGGAAAUCUUACUCAGAAGCAACCUGAGUUCAACACAGGGAGCUCAUGCGGCACCACCAAUACAUCCAACAGUCUCAAACUCAUGAUCGAUGGUGACCGCACUUUUACGAUCAUAGGCUGGGGGUGUCUAUGUAGUGGUCGGCCUUAAUUUGGUGUCGGCGUAAUGACUGUUUUCGGAGCCUUACGAGUGCUGCAAGUGAAUGUUCCAUAGCUUUGUUCUCUCAUUCAAUCUCGAGUUGCAGGUUAGAGGGAAAGAGAACUCCCCAAAGCAGUGCAUGAUAAUAUGAAGUUGGCUACUUAGGUAAAUAAGUUCCUUCUCUAAGACCUAAUUGCGCUGUCAAGGGAGAUCUUGAAGGAGCACGUCUCGGAUAGGGAGGGACUGGAAUUCCCCUUUUUGAAAGAGCCGCUUGUACUAAAGCUUCAAGGUGAAGAUCUUAUAAAGCUUAUUGCUCAACUCUCUAGCUUGAUUUCACUAGAAGACAUAUCUGAAUCUCACGAUACACGUAAAAGUACAACGGUAAGUCUGAACUAAAACGUUAUGAUGGAUAUGUGCAACGUGUGUUGAAUUAGAGCAUAACGCUUCAUGCCCAUUACUUUUCUGUUACAUUUAUUUUUUAGGUGGCUCCACUAUAACUACCAAGCUUAGUUACUAGUCAUUUUUAUCACUUUUACAUUUUGUCAUUUUAACCUCUCUUGCUUUAUUUUAUUCUAUUUUUUAAUUUCAGUUUUAAUGUUAUUUUCUUACUAGUGUUUUUUAAUAAAUAAGCUACUUAAAAUUUACUUUUAAAAAACACUUCUCUAGUUUGAAGGGAAAAAAAAUCAUUAAUCCAAUUGUUAUUGCACUAGAUUGUUAUUGCUCAUUAAUUAAGAAAUAUUUUCUCUAGUUUGAAUUUUAAGUGUGCCAGUAUGUCUAAAAUAAUUAAUAUAUAUUAUCAUGAGGUCUAAACAUAACAAUUAGGGGUGAACAGUAUAGUGGGUCAAUUGACCAAUCCACCCAAAAUAUGUCGAGUUGGGUUGAGUUCUAAACUCAAAAAAAUAAAAUAAAAUAAAAUUCAGUCAAAACCCGAUCACUCUGUUUAAUAGAAGGGUUGGGUUGGGUUAUAAUACUUUUAUCCAAUUGAAAUUGAUUUACUUAGUUAACAAUUCCUAAACAUACAUGUACAUCAGAUAGACGUUAACUUGUGCAUUUAUACUUGAAUUGAAUGAUUAAAUAUGAUGAAAUUUCGAUGUUAAGUAACAUAUAAAGAUUCUAACACCAAAUCUACAUGUUUUGUGCCUAACACGACCCUUGAAUAUUUGUCAUGCAUACUCACAUAAACUUGUAGAACCUGCACAACCCAACCCACUUAAACUAAUUUGUUGUUAAAUAAUUUUACGAAAAGCAAAUUUGUUGUUAAGGUUUUAAUAAAUAUUAGAUUACGAGAAUAAUCUAGUAGCUGACAAUUGCUACACUCUUAUUUAAACUAAUAUGAUGUUUUACAUGGACAUAAUGUCAAUACAUAAAAGUUCAAGAAUUGUUAACACCAGUUACUGUCUCUUAAAAAUUAGUUGAGAGAAAUUAAUACAUACAAUGAACGUUUUGGCAUAUGAGAAUAACAUAACUCUUAUUAGGCUGUCACUUCAUACUACGGUCUAGUGGUAUUCAUCUUCACCUGUAAGUGAGAGAUCUUAGAUUUGAUUCUCGCCAAAGACAAAUCUAAACCACAUUUUUAUUAGCCCAUUAUAAGGUUAAUCUCAUCCCCUCUUACUUAAUAUAGAUAAUAUCGUUUGUUAAAAAAAAAAAAAAACUCUGUCACGCCUUAUUUCCUAUGCAUGUAUUCGAGUGAUAAACUUCAACCUGUAAUUUUCUAUCAUCAAACUAUUUUCCAUAUUACAGAAAUGUCAUUAUAUAUAAAGUGAGAUUAUGUAUAAUUAUGCAUUUUGUUUGAAAAAUUUAAAGUUAGAUCUUUUGAUCCUUCGACCAAUGCCACGUUGGGCAGACAGCAUGACCAUCAGUCUCAAUAUAAAAUUUUACAAACUUAAUUUUUUUUGUUUUGAUUUGAUGAGAAAUACUAAAAAGACUUUAAAAAAUAAUUUUUUUUUCAUGAAUUUUUUGUCAACUCAUGUUUUUUAUACAAUAUUUUAUAAUGUUGAUAUGAAAAUUGAUGUUAAACUGUAAAAUGAUAGAAAAUCAUUUUAGAGUCUCACCUUGAAAGAAUCUUCUUAGCACUUCUCAUUAAUUUAUAUAAUUUGGAUUCCUAUUACCAUUGCAUGUAUUUUGCAGUUAACGAAUUCGGAUCCUCUUUGUAAGGAUCUCGAGAAUCGUGAAUCAUAUUCGUUUAUCGUACAUCGUGCGGUCAAAAAUUAUUUUAAAUAUUUUUAUUUAAAAUUAUAUACAAACAGUAUCUAACAAAAACUAACUACAUGAUAUGCGAUGAACAGAAACGAUUUACAAAUCUUCAGAAUUCUCACAAAAAAAAUUGGAAAAAGAUCUUGUUGGGCAGUAAACCUGCAGAGGAUUAGUUUAAUCACAUCAUUACAUGUCUCAGAGGACACUAAUAAAAUCUUGCCAGCAUGGACCUCUUUUAGUCACAUGUCGAAAAUACAGGGGUAUUACAGUCAUUUUAACAUUCCACCACCACUAACUGUCAUGGUUUACCUGUUAUGGGCAGUGCUGGUUUCUUCUUUUUGGGUUCUCGCUUCUUUUUGAUUUAUUAUGAUUUAUUUAAAUUAAUUAUAUAUAUAAAUAAUUUAAUUAAGGAAAAAUAAUGGAUGGUAAUGUUGUUGUAUGUUUGGCGCGUAUAUAAACCACCAACGGACCGCAGACUCAGAGGGGAGAGAGAGAGAGAGAGAGAGAGAGAGAGAGGAGAGAGGAGAGAUUGAAUAAAUAAAAGAAGAAGAAAAAGUAACCUCUCAAAUUAAGGAGGAUAGAAAAGUAAGAGGACAAAACCAAAAAAGGGUUUGAAAACUCAGAGAGAAACUCAAAACCAAAAACCAAAACCAAAACAGAGAGAGACACACAUACAGUGUUUGUGUGUGUGUGUGCGUGUGAGGGGAGAGAGAGAGAGAGAGAGAGAGAGAAGCCCUGAAAAUCCAAACCCUAUUCAGAAUUCCAUCUCACUGAUAACCCCAUUUGAUCAUAAUCUCGCAUUCUCCCUGUACAGAGAGAGAUUGAGGAGAGAGAGAGAGAGAGAGAGAGAGAGAGAUUGUGGAAAAAGUCGAGAUAUUUAAGUGAAGAAUCGAAGUGAUUUCAGUGUGACCGUACAAUGGAGCGGUACGGUCGGGCCGCAGAAGGGUCACAGUCCGAUCCACCGCCGGAGUGGAACAUUCCGGGACCCGAAACAGGGCUGGAAGGUGAGACCUUUCUAACCCCAAAACACUCUGCAUUUCAAUUUCAUUCGAAUUCGGCUUCGGAUUCGAUUUCGGGUUUUGGGGAUUGCGAUUUGGUGGGUUUUGGGGCGAAUGCGGCUCCGUUUUUCCGAAUUGGGUUUUGAUCCUUUGGUUUUUGUGAUAAUGCAGAGUCCAUGUGGCAGUUGGGGCUCCGUCCCGGGGAAUCGUACCCUGAGCGACCCGACGAGGCCGAUUGCAGUUAUUACUUGAGGACUGGGAUUUGUGGGUACGGCUCACGGUGUCGGUACAAUCAUCCCCGUGAUCGCAGCACGGUAAUUUUAUUGAAUUACCAAUUUUUUUCUAAUUCAAUUGGUUGAAUUUGGGGCUCAAUUGGAUCGUGAUUGAUUGAUUCCAGUGUGGUGAUUUCGUUUUCGGGUCGAAUUUUGUUUGAUCUUGUGUGUUAGUAGAGAUAUCGUGGCUUUCGUCUGUAGAUUUGAUGAUCAAGUUUACGGUAUUUAUGCAAAUUGAUUAGUGGGAUUGUUCUGAAUUUGUUGAAUUUCAAGUCCUUGUGUAGAAAUUUGUAACUUUUUUAUUUAUUAAGAUCUAUGUGGUUAAUGCUCAUAUGAUUACCUAUUUAGUAGUAAAGUUUGAGUGAUACAUGUUUCUCAGGUUACCGUAGCGGCAAGACCCGGAGGAUUAGAGUACCCUGAGCGAGCGAGCCAGCCUGUGUGCCAGGUACUUAACCUUUUUUGGGGUUUAGGCCAAAAUGUUGCCUUGUUAUCGUAUAUAUUUACGUGAUUCCAGCAGAUCACAUAUUCAGCUUCCAGUCUUAUGUGUUCCGCUUGGAGUAACGUCCUCUAUUGAUGAUUGCAUGCUUUGUCUGUUUUGAAAAUAUGUGAAUUCCCUUUGUUUGAUUGUACCGUGAUUUUUCAAUGGCAGUAUUAUAUGAGGACGGGGACUUGCAAAUUCGGUGCUUCGUGUAAGUUCCACCAUCCUAAGCAGGGAGGAAGCUCUGGUAGCCCUGUUUCGCUAAACUAUUAUGGAUAUCCAUUGCGGCCGGUCUGUAUUUCUCAAAUUUGAACUUCUAAUUCUUCAAAAUUUUGUCAUAUUGUAAAUCCCAUUUCACGACUGUGAGGUAAAGUAUUGCAACCAUGGAUUUUUUUGCAAAUAAAACAGGGUGAGAGAGAGUGUUCCUACUAUGUGAAAACUGGACAGUGUAAGUUCAGUGCAACUUGUAAAUUCCAUCAUCCACAGCCGGCUGGCAUACAGCUUCCAGUGCCGUCACCAGCACCUCGAGUUUCACCUGUACCUGCUACACACACAUUGUAUCAAACUGUGCAAUCGCCAUCUGUUUCAUCACAACAGUAUGAAGUAGUAUUUGCAAGGCCUCCUUUGCUACAGGGGUCGUAUGUUCCAAGCCCCUAUGGUCAAGUGCUACUUUCCCCGGGCACAAUUCCUUUUCCAGGUUGGAAUCCGUAUCAGGUAAAUAACAUUUCCUGCUCCAUUAUCUUUUUAGUUACAUGAAUUUCCCUUAAGCUGUUAGUCAUGUGGUGCAGGCACCUGCAAGCCAAUUGCCUUCGAGUACUCAACCUGGUGUUGGUUCUGGGACACUUUAUACUCAACUAUCACCUUCAGCACCUGCAUAUACCGGAGUGUAUCAGCCUAUACCUUUACCUUCCUCUUUUGGUCUUCCAACUACUAGCCAGAAGGAGCUUUCAUUUCCAGAAAGACCUGGUCAACCAGAAUGCCAGUAUUACAUGAGAACAGGGGAUUGUAAAUUUGGUUCCUCAUGUAGAUAUCAUCAUCCACCUGAAGCUGUUCAACCAAAAGCAACUGUUGUCCUUAGCUCCAGUGGUCUUCCUUCGCGCCCGGUUAGCCGCCCUUACAAAUCCUUUGCAUUAUGAUUGUUUUAAUAGACAUCGGCCAUCAGCUUGCUUACAUAGCAACACUUAAUUUUUGUGGGAAAUAUGUGCUGAAACAAAUACGUUUUCUGCUGCUGGAGAGUUGGUAAUUAUUUGGUUUGAAGUUAUCUAAGUCAGCCGUCAGGGCUAUCCGUAUCAUGCUAAUUUUUGGACCCAGGGUCUAUUUUGGGGAGUGUCACUUAAUUAUGGGUCCUUUUCGGUUUCUUAUUUUCCUUGCAUUUAUGUUACUUUUUUAUUCUUAUUUCUAGGUGGUAGUGUCUUUAAAGUCUGCUUGCGCAUUAUACAACUUGUAUAUGUUGGUUGUCACGAUCUUUAUUUUUAUUACUUAACAUGCUCGCCUUCUUUCUCAACAUGAAGUCUGUUCAGUUUUCUUUCUUGUACGUUCUUAUACUGUGAAUGCCUUCUUGGUAAGUUAUGCACCUUUCUUCUUACGCAUGCUAAUUUUUCUGCUGUGAAUUUGAAAUUCCAUGUGAUAAUCAGGGUGCACCCCUUUGCACUCACUAUCAACAACGUGGAGCAUGCAAGUUUGGACCCGCAUGCAAAUUUGACCACCCAAUUGGAACACUGAGUUACAGCUCAUCAACGUCUUCUCUUGCUGAUAUGCCAGUUGCACCCUACCCAGUGGGAUCAUCAAUUGGUACACUAGCCCCGUCAUCCUCGUCCUCAGAGUUGCGGCCUGAGCUUAGUUCAAGCUCUGGAAAGGAAUUAGUUUCAGCCAGAAUGUCUUCGUCACUGAGCACUUCGAGUGGAUCAGUAGGUUCAACUGUUUCUAAGGGUGGUGUUACCCCUGUGGGUGUCCAACAGUCUUCUCAGGGUUCCGGUCCUUCGGUUGGCAGUGGCAACAAUACAGAGUCUCAAUAGUUCAAGCUAAGCAAAUGUCAAGCAAUUUUCCAUUCUUCCUUUUUUAUCAACUUUCUCCCAAAGCAUCAUUUUUUCCCCUUUCAAGUCCUCCAACAGAGGGCUUCAUAUCUCAAUGCCUUAGCAUACAUCAGUCAUGUUCAUCUCUGUGUUUAUAUCAUCUUUAUACGGCCAUCCCUUUUAUCCCAAAUAAGCCAUGGCCGACCUCCAAAAGUUUAGCAAAAACCCCAUAUAGCUUUCCCAGCUUUCUCUUCAAUAACCUCGAAAGAAUCUGCGGUUCCUUCAGGCAAAUCCGUGUCCAUCUCCAAUUUUGGAGCUCGUUAUCCUCAUUUGUGCUCCAUCAUUUUUCAGAACGAAUACAUUAGUUCCACAGCAUUCUUGCCUUUCAAAUGACCGUGUAUUCAUGUCUAUCCUUUUCUGAAUUUUCCUUUUUAAACUGGGGAACGAGCUUUCAGUUAAAACAUGGGAGUUCGAUUUCAUGUUCCCCCACCUUUUGUCCAAGGUCUAUUUUCGAAAACAGAAGCAAAGUAAAGACCCAAAGAAGAAGGCAUCACAGUGGUUGCUACUCUAUGUGGGAUCAUCAUAUACAUAGUUAUAUGCUGUUGUGCCAAUUGAAAUGCUUGACCAUGUUAUUCAUAAAUUUUAUGUUUAUGAAAUACAAAAUAUAUGAAGAAGCACUCUUGACUCUGUAAUAAUCUUUCUCUUCCAAUUUAUCCUUCGUUGAGCGAGGAGAAAAUGAUCUUUGUUACUUUCUUUACACUGCUUAUAUAUAUACAUACAUGCCAAAUUACUGUUGGAACUUAUUUGCAGGUUGGUCAAUCUUGGUUGAAGGUUUAUGAAAAUGAAUGUGAUCAACUAUGGUCAAACUAAAAGAAUAGGAUGAUAUGUUCAUGAUGUUAUUUUAUUUUUUCACAUCAAGUUGCUUCUUGAUACAGUUUGACCAUUUCAGACAUGGAUUGCAUGAGGGUCAGACCAGUUGGGUAAGAGAAGUGUGUCUUUCCCUUUGUAUGUUAGAGUAAUUUAAUAUAUGUAUUGUCUUGUUAAUAUAUAUAUAUAUGAGCAUGCACUACCCUUUGUUUUGGGUACUUGUUGACUACUCUUCCAGUUUGAUAUAUGGCAGCAUGGCCCUUAGAUGAACGGAAUUAGCAAGUUGGAAAUCCUUUUUCAUCCCCUUUUCUACCUUACACUAAAUAAUCUACGAGAAAAGUGAUUUGAACUCUAGUGCAUUACAGAGAAUACAUUCGCUUUAAUCAAUGUGACUGUGCCCACGUUUGCAAUCUAGUUCAUCAAAGGGUACAAGUUUUGCCUUAAAACUUCUUCCAUUCUAAAUGUGGACUCAGAUUGAAACUGAUGGGAUGUGCGAGAGGAACAUUUGCUUUGGUCAUGUCUUCACACCCCUCCCAAAGAUUUGCCCAACUACCAUAUGAUUGAGCUCAAGAUAUUCCCAAGGAAAAAAGAUUUCAUUGACAUGGGGUUUAUAUAUGCAGGAAUUUGCCAAGCAUUCCAAACAGCUAUAUAAUGUUUACCAAAAAAAAAAAAAAAAAAAAAAAAAACAGCUAUAUAAUGAGUCACAUUUUCCACAGCCUAAUUCAUUUGAUGGAGUGACCGACAAAGAGACAAGACGAAUCCAGGUUUGAAGGCAAUGAACUGUGUUGGCCAAAAUUAAUGGAUCUCGUUUCAUUAUCUUCUAAACCAUUAGCUUGAUGAGCAUCCCUUAAGAGAAAAACAAAGGGACAAAAAGCACUAAAAUGUAGUGUGCUUAUGUAUCCUACUUUAAUCUUGGAGUGGACAAGAACUCUUGAGAUAUAUUUAGGAGGGGCCUUGUAUGUUACCCUUACUUCCAUAAAUUUAGGUGCAUAAAUAUAUAGAUUCUAGGGAACUUUAACGAAAAACUCCAUGUUCACUUUAAAGAAAAACCACAUUUUUACACUUAAAAAGUUAAUUCUGGUACUAUUCACUUUACCAUUUAUUUUGUCAUUUUCGUUAAAACUCAAAGUUUUCAAGCUCUUUUCAUUACUUUUUCCUAGAUUCUAUGCAUUAUUCCCUAUAUAUGGUCACCUUAUAAUAUAAGUCGACGGUCGAGUUUUAAUCAUUGUAAUACGUCACUUUCUGAUACGAGCGAUAUUGAGAGAAAAAAAAUCGACCAAAAGAAUAUAUGAGCGAAUGAUAAUAACCAUUUAAUCUACAAGCUCGUUGAAGAGUACCCAUAUGAACUACAACUUUGCGUAGCAUAGAAACUAGAAAGAAAAACAAAAGAGCUAGAACCGUUAUUGCGAAAGCACUAAUACUUUGCACUUGUGUGGCUGAGUAGCUUAGGGUAUGUUUGGUACUCUACUCAAAUCCAACUUUUAAACUCAAAAACAAUUUUCAAAUAUUAGGCCUUAAAAACUUGUUUGGUAUGACUAUUUUAAAAAACUGAACUCAACACUAACUAAAAAAUAUAAUAUAUUCUCUAAAAAUAUAAAAAGUGAGUUUUUAGAGUUUUUAAACUUAGAUUCACUCCUUUCUUUUUUCUCCUUCCUCUCCUCUCACUCCAAAUCUCUCUCUCUUUUCUUCUUUCUCUCUCCUCUUUUAUUUUUUUUUUAUUUUUUUUACCAUUUUUGUCUCUCCUCCAAUCCGCUCUCUUCAUUCUCUCAAUUCUUUCUCUCACUCCUCUUCCUCUCUAUCUUGUCCGAUCCUCUCUCUUCUUUCUCUUUCCUUCAAUCAUCUCUUACUUUCUUUCCUCCUCUCUCCUCUUUCUCCCCUCUCAUGCGACCCUCUCUUUUUAGAUCUCUUUAUCUAGUUUAAGUCGUAAGAUUUAAAAUUUUUAAAUCGCAAACCAAUCAAGUUUUUUAGUCUUAAAGAAAAUUGUUUUCAAGAAAUGUUCUUAAAAAAUAUUUUAAGAAAUGAUAAAAAAUUUCAAAUAGGAUACCAGGCCUUAGUGGUGGAUGUCUCUUUCUACAUCCAAAUUAAGUUGCAUGCAUCUUUUUGUUAGGCUACGUUGUCAGUUAAAGGCCAGGCAGAUAGCCGUAAAGAUAGACACAUAAUGCAGCUAUUAUAUUAUGCAAUAAAGCCAUUAAAAUAGUAGCUAAUAUUAUCAAAUACAAAAAUAUAUAUGUGACGAAAGACGUAGAAAUUACAAUGAAAGAAAAAGCGUUGCAAGAAAAGCUCAAGACACAAGAAAAGUAAGUGCACAUAGUUAAAUUAAAUGACUAAUUGAUAAAUCCAUAGGUGCACGUACGCGCCAAAAGUUUAUCAAAAGAGUGAGUGUCCAAAGCAAGAGAAUGAAGAAGAAGAUCCAUAAGCACUCGAAUUUUCGACGAUUGGAUACAACGCUCCCAUGCAUCCAUCUUCAGUCAUCAUAGGAUUGAACUCCCAUGGCUGCUGGUUAUCCCAGAAUCCAUGACUGAAUCCAUCAAAGCAAGAAAUCUGAUGAUCUCCAUUGUUGUUAUUAGGAGCUUCUAAUGCAGCUUGCACAUUCAUAACAUCUAGAGGAAGUGUAGCACUAGUGGAGUUAUUAGGGUUUGCAAAGCUACAAUUUUGAUCAAUGUUCAAAGCUUUUGAGUUUGUGUAAUUUGGGGGGUCGUCAUUGUCCGAAGGAGGCCGCAGGCAACUAUCAGGAACAAUGCAAGCCAAAUAGCCCGAGUUAGAAUUACUCGAAUUGCCAGAGAAAAAGAAACACUCAUCAUCCUUAUGAUGUGCCGAUGAUGAUGACCUAAUAUUAUUAGGGUUUUGAAAUUGGGUUUGAUCAGACUGAAACAUGUUAGAAUGAUGAGGUGGACUGUUUUGAUUGGUGAGUUGUUGUUUAGCAGUCUGAGUGGUGAAAAACUGUGAUUGCUGUGGUAAAAGGGUUUGGACAUCAAAGGGUGAGAGGAGAGAGUGGAAAGUUGUGUUGUCAGAGUAAAUGAAGUUGGUUCUUGCUUGUGAGCCUUUCAUGGAGAGGGCAGCUCUGUCAUAAGCCAAAGCUGCUUCUUCAGCAGUGUCAAAUGUGCCAAGCCAGUGCCUUUCUUUAGUGCUAGGGUCUCUGAUUUCAGCAGCAUAUCUCCCCCAAGGCCUUCUUCUCACACCGAGAAACCUCCCAGGCUCGGCCUGCUUUCGCCUUCCUCUUCUCUCACCGGAUUGAGAGGACGGAGUAAGUGUGCUUCUCUGCAGCACAGCAGCAAUAUCCACCUGUACCUGACCUUGCUCAAAAGCUUCGAAGGGUUUUUCUAGGGCUUGGGAGGUGGACAUUGACAUGGUAGAGGAAAUAAUUUCUAAAGAAAAUGUGAGUGAGUGCAGAAGGAUAUGAGAACUGAAGGUCUUGGUUUUGGUUUCUGGAUUUUGGGUGGUGAAGUUAAGUAUGUGGAAGUUGUGAGAAGGGUUUUAAAGACUAAGAUAUAUAAUCUUGGAGGAGGAGAGAUAAUCUCGUGUAAGUAAAGAUACGUACGCAAGUAUGUAUUAAACGGACGGUAUUUUGGUUGCAAGAAAUAAUGCUUAACGAGAUCGGAGAGGGGGCAAGGAAAAGGACACUCCAGAUGUCAUCCUGUGUACUGUGGACGACCAUCCUUCCCUUUCCACCUACUUUUUAAAAAUCUUUCUUUUUCUGAUUUCUAUUUAAUCCUACAUCUCUUCAACUGAAAAUAAUAAUAAGCUAGCACUUGUAGGUGAAAAAAAUGUGUAGAUUCCAGCAGUACUUGUCAAAAACUCGAAAUGGUCUUCUAGCUAGUAACUGCUCUGGGGUUUUUCAUUUUCUAGCUACAGUCACUUUCUUCCAAGUCCCAGUGAAACCCUAGAAUAUAAAUUCUCUAUCUAUAUAUAACUUACAAUUCACAGGGGUUUGGGAAUCAACUCAUUUAUCCCACUGUAGAUUUCACACAUGUUAUUAUUUAAUGAGUAAUUAUUACAUCAUGUCUGUGUAACUAUUGGGAUUUGUUUUAAGAAUAUAGGGUUUUGAAUCUUAAUGGGAUCUACUCACGUGGGGAGCUGCCGUCCAAUCUAGAUAAAAAUAUUAGAACUUUGUAGAGCAAACCAAGUUGAAAUUAAUGUCAAUGUUUGAGGACUAAGAGGGACUUGAAUCAAUGAUGACUGGUAGAUUAAGAUAAAGUUGAUGAUGUAGACACUUUCUUUUUUACUUCAUUACACCCGUUAAUUUAUGUUAUUUGAUCUUAUUCAAUUCAUUGAAUCGAAUAACAAAAAAUUGAGAGAAGCGUGUGGAAGAUAAAGAAGUGUGUGGAUAGUACCACUCAGAAAAAUAUAUACACUGUACUUGGCUCCUACAAUUUCAGUCAUUCCUUUAAACUUGCGAAUAACAAUUUGAUACAUUAAAAUCAUAAAAUGAAAAGUUUCUACAUACAUAUCAAAACAUGAGUUGUUUGCACACAAAAAAAGUAACUUCUUACACAUAAGGAGCUAAGUAUUUUCUAUUAAAACUUUCUCAAUCCUGCAGGUAUAAAACCAGGAAACGAAACCUACUGCGUGGUUUUUGAGUACCUACUCCAAGAAAUGAAGUUUUAAAAUCUUUUGAAUUCAUAAUGUACCAACAAAAAUUAUCUCCAAUAUUCACAUGUAAAUCGGCAUUUUGUGCAACCAAAUUCUUCGUAACAAUUCGCAUUUUCAAAAGGAGCAGUUAGAUUUUUCUCAACUAAAUCGAAAUUAUCAGAGAACCAAACAUAUUCUAUUGAGUUUUUUGGUCUGCAUCACGGAAACAACCCCACACCAGACUAUUAAAACAAUAGGCUCCCUCAUAAGGAAAGGCCCAUAUCAUUCAAGGUUUUAUGCUUCUUGUGUUUUGUUGAUCUCUAUGUAUAUAUAUGCUUCAUCUUAUAGGAUUUUAUUUUCGUAGCAGAAGAAAACUUAAAUCAUGCAAAUUUCACUAACCAUAUAUUUGGAUUUUUUUAAUGUUAUUAAUUGGGAGCGGGAAUUCGAACUUAAAAUUUAUUUUAACAUUGAAGGAGAUUUACUGCUAGAUAAUGAACUAGUUUGUUGUCGUUAUUAUUCAAGCUAGUUCAAUAAUAAAGGAUGUUUUAAAGUCCUGAAAAUCUCCCAAUUAAGUUGUCUAAUUUUUUUUUUCGUCCUCCAAAGUUAUGCACUUGGUCACGUAUUUCCUAAAACUCGUAUAAUUUAUUUUAAGAAAAAAAAAAUCUCUUUUCAUACUAUAAACUUGGACAUAUGCCACAUCGAAAUUCAUAGCACGGUAACAUAAGUUGGUUUGACUAACAACACAAGUAUUUAUAUAGUAACAUAACUUUGGCAAGAAAACAUCAUUUAUGUUUUAACUUUGAACUUAGUAUACAUUUGAUUUUAUAUCCUGAAUUAUACUAUAAAAUAGUUCGGGAUAUUAGACUAUCUUUUGCCACUAUUGAUCAAUGUAACUUUUGCUCCAAUGCUAUUUUUUUUCCAGUAUCGAAGAAGAGAUUUUGAGUCUAAAUCGAGCAGAUUCUUAAAUUUCAAACAGAGGAUAAACUAAUAACAAAUUUCAGUCAUUACCAAAACCUUAAUGGUGAAGUUUGGAGACAAAGGACUAAUGUAUACAGUUGGACAAUCUAAAUUUACUAUUAAUUACUCACAAACUACCUUCUUAAGUAACAUCUUUCAAGUAAAAUAUAGCAAAGUUGGAUUGAGACACUGGUCAUUGUUUCCCAACUCCGAAAGUAAUUGAAAAAAGGGCUAGGUCAAAAGGCAAUCAAGAGCUUAAAAAAACACUUGCAGAGCAAGGUAGAGUGAAUUGCCCAAACAAAAAUUUAUAAGUGGGGCAAGUGUAUUAACAACUUUGAUUAAUUAGCAAUUCCAAUAGGAAAAGUAGUCUUUAUUCCCCUUGAUUAAACCUCACAUUGCCCAAACGGCAUCGGGAAUGGCAUAAACUAAUCACCAUACCAAAUGGGUCAACCUACUUUCAGUUCAUUUAGCAUUUCCAAAUGUUGCAAUGCUUUGCCACUGGUCACUGUCAUGGUUAUUGUAUAAUGAACCUAACAAAUGCAAAUGAUAAUAAUAAAAAUAAAGGCGUAAUUGGAUUAUUAGUCUCCGUGGUGAUAAGGUAGUUAGAAGAUAGACAUGUGGUAAAAAAAAUCUAGGAUUUAAGCCUCUGUGGUGAAGUCUGUUAGGAUUUAAGUCCAAAAUUGAAAAUUCCGUCAACUCUCCGUUAAUUAUUAGCACGUGAGCCACACAUAUUAGGCUAAAACAGAACUUUCCGUUAAUUGUUAGCAUGUGGGGGUACAUGUGAAGAAUUUUUCAUUGUGACCGGAACAUGGAUGAUAUACCACAUGUUUUUAUAUAAGUGGUGGAAAAUUUUAUUUUUUAAGUUAUUAAUUUUUUAACACACAUAUCCCAUAAUUUAUAUAGUGACACGUGGUGUAACAUCCCGUGUUCUGAUCACAUUGAAAAAUCUCUCAUACAAGUGAGGCUACCUUUAUCUUCUUAGUCUCACAUGUGAGCCUUAUGUGCUAACAAUUAAAGAAGAAUUGACGAAAUUUUAAAUUUUGGGCUUAAAUACUAACAGACUUCACCACACGAGCUUAAAUCCUAAUUUUUUAUUACCACAUGAGCUAUCAUUCAACUACCAUAUCAUCAUGUGAUCAAUAAUCCAAUUAGCCUAAAAGUAUAUUGUUUGUCUCAUUACAUGUAAAAUGCUAUUUUCAUUACAUUCAAAUCGUAGUCUCAUACAUAACUUACUAAAUUACAGAAAGGAAGAAGAAAAAUUGUGUACACAUGUCAAACAGUAAUUUAUGUAUGAUCAUGAAUGACUCUUUAUAUAUAAAGGACCAAAUAUUUUUUUUAUAGAAAAUGAGAAAAGGAGGGCCAUAUUUUCAAAUAAUAUAAAAAAAGAUAGAGCCUUACAAGGGAAAAUAGUAUGAUUAUUUACAAUAAAUUGGUUCUUUUAAGAAUGAGAUGGACUCAAUUGGAAUCUAUGACCCUUGACUCCUCCACUAAGGAUUUGAAGAAACCCAAUAAGAUAGGAUUGUUUCAUGAAACCCCAUCUUAAUAAAUUGUGAAAAAAUGAGGGAUCUUUUAAGAAUUUAACAAUAGAAGAGCAGAAAGGUUUGGUCUUUAGUCAAGCCCCAUCUCUAAAAAGUGUUCAGCUAGUUGGAAAGGAUGGAGUGUGCUAUACAUCAACAUGACUAAGUACUUAAUAGAUUUGCUUAAAAUGAAACUAUAAAAAUAGUUUGCUUAAAAUGGAUGGGGUUGUAAUAACAAUUUGGUAUUAAAAUUGGCUAAAAAAUAGUAAGAGAUGGGGUAGGGGUCUCUUUGUGAGGCGGGUCCGGAUUCUCUCUUUCCUAUUUUCUCUCCCUUUUAAUUUUUUUUCUAUUUGAACGCUCAUAAUUAAAUUACGUUAACAUCUUAUAUUAGUUUUUUGUAUAAAACGAGAAAGAUAAAAAAAAAAUAAAAAUUGAGACCGCUCAUUUCCUUGUUCCAAUUUUUUUUCUUUGACAUGGGUCUGUUUUUUAGUCAAAUGAGAAUUUCGCACAUUCCCCAAAACAAGCACGACACGCUUUUUAUUAAGGUUAAAGGUUCCCCCGGGAUUUAGGGAAAGAUGGAUGUGUCUUUUGUUUUUAGGACUUGGACUUUGAUGAGACAGAGAGAGAGAGAGAGAGAGAAGUUUUGGGGUUUUGGAGUUUUGAGAUUAGUGGUGGUCUUCCUUAUAAUAUUCAAGAAAUGUUUUUGCACUUUGAUUGAAAAUGUCCCAAUCCCAUGUUAGAUUUUAGCCUUUCGUGGUUCAGCUACUUUCUACUUUCUAGUAAAAUACAACACUCUUGUGUCUUUCCACUAAGAUGCAGUCACACUAUGUAUAUAAUAACGAUAUUCAUUUUUUCAUUUAGCGUUUCAAAAAUGAUGAAGUGUUAAUUUAAUCUUUAAAUUAUCACUUCAGGAAAAUUAGGUUUCUGAAUUAUUUUUUUGAUAAAUCCCUAAAUUCAUCAAAAAUUGCUAAUUUAAUCCCUAUUAUUAUAUUUAAAGCUUUUUUUUUAUUUCAAUUUUUCGUUAACUUAAUUCACUUGACAUAUUUUAGAGUGUAAUACCGUCAUUUUCUCGCCUAUAAGCCCUUAACAUGUCAUAUAGGUUGUGAAUCUAACAUCUAAUUUACUCUCCAAAGUUAACUCAUGCACUAUUUCUUUAUGAAAAAUUACCAAUUUACCCUCCAAUGUGUAUCAUAUGCAAGUAACGUGACUUAAAUUGACGAAGAAUUGAAUAUAGUAGUUUCGAAUAUAAUAUUAGGGAUGUAAUUGACAGAUUUUUAUAAUUCAAGGACUGAUUUUUCUGAAGAAAAAAAAAUAGUUUAGGACCUAAUUUUCACUGGUGAUUAUUCAAGGACUAAAUUGACGAUUCACCCUUUUAAAAAAUACUUGGCAUUCACGAAUGACUGCAUUAUUUUGUCCACCUACUUACGAUUAAUAUAUUUUAAUUGAGUAAAACUUCCUAAUUGAAACGGUGAUUUCUUAAUCAUUGUUUAAAGAUCAUUUAUGCGAAAAAUAAAUUAAAUGAUAAAUUGUUUACUCAUUUGUAUGUGUAGAAAAGAUCAACCAUUUUGGAAACAAUUUGAAUUAUAAAAUGACCUAUAAAUGAUCAUUAUAAAAAUGAAUGAUUUCGAUUAUCAAACAAGUACGAUGAGUCAUUUAGUAGAAUGGUCUAGCGAUAUUCAUCUUCACUUACAAGUAAGAGGUCUUAGAUUUGAUUCUUACCAAAAACGAAUUUGAACCAAAAUAUUAUAACGAAACUACAUUAAUCACUAGUGGAUAGACAUGUUGGUGUAUAAGGUGGAUGUAAGUUUGUCCUUUUGUUUGUUUUGGUUUUUUGACCAAUUUUUUUUAUCUUGGGAAUGUCACUCUAUUAGUGGUUGUAUAGCUUGUGGGUGUAAUGCUAUUUGCCUGCCUAAAUGAUGAUUAUGUUAAAUUUUCCGUAGAGUGAUUCGGCGACGUGUAAUUUGUUCCUAUAAACCCCACAGUGCAGCAGACCACUUCUUUAGCUAUGAUUGUUUGUUUUAUUACCAAUUCAUCAUGCAAUGAUGACUGGCCUCAUGAGUUUGGCAAAUCCACGCUUUCAUGUCCAAAACCCAUCUGUCGUGUAUCCCCGAUUAAUGCAGCCUCAGAUGCUUCAAUUGUCGAUUCUAGAGUAUUGAGCGGGAGGUUACACCUAUGGGUUAGGUCUCCACCAAUAGAGGGCAUAGGGGAAGAAGCACUACUCCUAGGAAUCAACACACGAAAACUUUGUUAUAAAUUAUCCCUUUUCCUUAUCAGGAUCGGGACUAACAAGAAUGGUUGGGACAACAAACAUCCAUCUCGUUCGUGAGCUUGAUGGCAUCUAACUAUAACACUCAUAUUUUACAGAUAUAUUAAGGAGGCUUUUCAAAGUUAGAUUCUUCAGGAGUUAAUUGUCACAUCACAGUUUAACGUUAAUUUCGUGUGAACAUUAUAAAACAUUGUGCAAAAAACAUGAGGUAACAAAGAGUUGAUGAAAAAUCUCACUUUUCAGAGAGUUUCCUAAGCAUUUCUCUGUUUUACUAGGUAUUGAUAUACUAAAUUAACAAAUGAAUACUUAAGGAUACCAUCAAAUAUCACAAAUCGAAUCUAACACCAAGUUAAAUUAUUUUGAGUGGAUUACUAAACAUGUCAAGUUAGUAUUAAUCUUUGUUUAAUAAUCUUAAACAAGAUGCUCUGAUUUUUAAUUACAUGAAGAAAAAUGACUAAUAUUCUCCAUUUAUCCAUACACACGCAUUACGUGAGAAUAGAGGAUUUUUUUAAUAGUUUUCUAGAGUUAGGAUGAGUGUAUUUUAUUUGUUAGGAAUGUAAUGGGAGAUAGACGCUGGUGAUUUUCUAUGAUGCUUCAGAGUAUAAGAUGUUUUGAAUUUUAUAAAAUUACGGUAGAAUAUUUGUAGAUUUGGUUUAGAAACAAUAUCAUAUUUGGCUCAUAAGAUACAACACAAUGUAGAGGUCUACUAGUACAUACGGUAGAGUGUACUGGCUACUGUUUGAAGUAGAGGCCUACUCUGCAAUGCAGUAGCCAAUAUGGACAAUUGAUCAUCCAUCUAUUUAUGGAUCUCUUCCACCAAAUCCACACAAUCAAUAAAUAUGGGCCCUUGAAAUUUGAUCCAACGGCUACAAACAGGCGACCUCUUUAAAAGUUAUAAUAAUUUUAGCCGCUAGAUCAAAUUUCAAGGGCCCUAAUUUAAUGAUUGUGUGGAUUUGGUGGAAAAGAUCAUGAGAGGAUCUCUCCAUUUAUUUAUGAAGUUAAUUGGAAACAUGGCGACCUCUCAAAGCGUUUGCUGGUGUGAGGAUAACGUUGCAGGGAAGAACAAGAUCUUAGCCGUACACAUGCAAGUACCAAUGAGAUACGUAAAUCACGGAACAUCCAACACCGUAAAUGAUACGAGGUUGGGGAACGUGAAUGAACGAAGGCUGUAGCAGGCAGGUGCAUCUUCAUGCGGAGAGAGACUAAGGCCAUCUCCAAUCGAACGAUGGCUGAUGGACUAUGUUUAGCCCUAUAGCAUUGCAAGAAAUUAUAUUUAAAUGAACAGUGCCAUGCCAUAUUUUACACCAUCUCCAACCGAGGGUGCCAAAUGGCGAUAUGCCAAACAUAGCCCUUUGACAAAAAACUUAUCUCUAAUCGAGGGGGCCAAAGGGCCAUAGGAUGGGCCAUAGGCCAAACAUAAUUAAUAUAUAUUUUAUUAUUUUAAUUGAGUUAAUAUGGUUAAUUAAAUUAAACUACCAUAUUAAAAUAAGGUUUUCGGAUAUAUUUUGAGUAUCACUUGUAGCUAAAUGAAUAAGUCUCCGAAUUUUUUAUCUUUAUAUAAUCUCAAUCAUUUUUUGGAUAGGAUUUUGAGUGACAUGUAUCGUUAACGUGAGUAACUAUCCAAAUUUCUAUCUUUAUGUAAUCUCAAUAAUUUUUUGGAUAGAAUUUUGUUGAAGUUCAUUUCGAGUGCAAAUAUAAGGAUAAUAUAGUGACACAAGUAAGAGUGUCGAACCACAGGGAAUGAUAAACAACUUAGUAAAACCUUUGACUCUUACAUAUUAGCAUCAGUUAAUGACUCCUAUGAUUUAAAAUUGGGGGGAGGGGGGUUUAAGUAAUUUUGGAAAAGAAAUAAAGACAUAAAGAAAAGGGAAAAAUUAGAACUAUCUAAAAAUAAACCUAAUACAUGAAAUAAGUUAGAAACGUUUUUAGUACAUAAAUCUGACUUAAAAUGAGCUAAGGCCUUCCCCUAAACAUUCAUGAAUCAAUGAGAUGAUCUUUUAACUUAUCCAUUUCAAAUGCAUAACUAAGAUGUUCACAUAUCUAGCAUGGCAUAUAACUAGACUGUAUGAAUCCUCACUUUCCUUGCAUGUUAGAUGCAUGGCAUAUACAUCAAACUUAUAUUUG